AGACCUCGUCGACGUACUCAACGAUGGCGAGCGACUCGCAGACGGGCCUGCCGGCGUGGAUGAGCACGGGGACCUUCUUGCGCACCGGGUUGGAGGCGAGGAGGAGCUCGCCCUUGUCGAACAGGUCCUGCUCCAGGUACUCGUAGCUCACGCCCUUGAGAUGCAGGGCCAUGCGCACGCGGACCGCGAAGGAGCUCACCCCCGUGCCCAGCAGCUUCACGUCUCCUUGGCCGGCCAUCGUCUUGGAUCGAUCUCUUCCUUGCUAUUUGGUGCUCGUAAACUGUUUGCCCUGCUGUGUACGUAUGUGCUCUUAACUCAGUUUGGAAGUGUACGUAUAUUAGCAUCGUUCUGGCUGUUUCUCUAGCACAAAUCAAGCUGAACAGUUGCCGGAAGAGUAGCUGCAGAUAUGUGCAUCACCGUUGACGUAUUCAUUUCAUGGUAGGUGCAGGUAUGCGACCAUCUCUGGAUUUUUGACUAGUAGCUCGGCGUCACAUGUGACGCUACAGUGUUAGAGACGAUCUUUCUGCGGCAUAUGCCCUGCGAGUCGUUCUUCUCUUGCUACGUCCACUGACCUGGUCAGCAGGAGGCCGGAGCAAGCACGCCAUCGCUGCAACCUGCAAUGAAAACUCAGGGAGGACAAUGGUAUCCCCGGUCUACCAGGAUUCAAAUCCCGAUCUUUGUAUUUAUUCUGGAUUUAUUUCACGAUUUUCAGCGAUGCGCGUUCAGUGAAAGGAGAUGUUCCCGUCAACUACAAGACGUCUACAGUGACUUCGUAAAAUCUCAAGAUGAUAUGCCUGCUCAGUCUUUCGGAGGUGCUCGUAGAGGUAGAGUGUGCGUGCGUGCGUUCAUAGGGGCGAGUGUAUGUGUGUAUAUAUGAGCGAUUGCGUCUGUACUGUGUUAAAAAAAGACAUGUAGCAAGUGAAACCUUGCACGAAGACAGGGCUGAUAAGCGCAUGGAUGUACGUGCUCAAACUCGAGGGAAAAAAAGCUUCCAUUUUUAACUUCAAAUUUUUAUCUUUUUUGCAUCAGAGACAAUACAUGAGCUAUAGCGCUACACUGUAAGAAACUCUAGUUGAAGAUGGUAGUAUUGGGAUAAAAGUGAAUGAUGAUGUUGGUCAUUAUUUUCAAACUCAUAAAGGUUUGGGGUAAGAGGAUUGUUUGUCUCCAAUAAUUUCAAACAUAAUAGUUGCAAAUAUAUUGGCAGUCCUCGUUGCAAGGGCAAAGAAUAUGGCCAGGUAGGAGACUAGCGAAAAAUAUUAUUACUACAUACACUACACACUAGUUCAUUUGGAUCAUAGUACUUUCAUUAUUUUUGCUAAUGGUUUUUAGAUUGAAUUAGUACGCAAACUUUUGUAAAACAUGUACGUAUGAAUAGCAUUGCUUGUGGUUUAGUCCUCAUCUAGUGGAUGGAGAAGUUUCUAUUCUACAAUAUGUUUAUAACACUAUCAUUUCCAUGGAACACGAUAUGGGCAAGGAAGUCAAUAUGAAAUUGAUUCUUUGACUUUUCGAAUAACUCUCUGGUCCUAAGAUAAAUUUUUACAAGAAUGAAUUAUCCUGCUUUGGAAGUGCCAAAGUGGAAUAAAUUAUGUAUAAAAAAAUAUAAUGAUGUGAGGUUGGUAAACUCCCGUUGAGAUAUCUUAGGGUGCCAAUAACCAUUGAAAGCUCGCCAAUAAAGAGCGAAAAUGUAUCAAGGAAUUGUUUGGAAACAAACUUAGUUGUUGAAAAUCUAAGUUGAUGUCUAAUGGUAGUCAACUGACCCUAGUAAGGGCCAGUUAUUUUGCUGACUUCAAGAAUAAGCUGGGUAUUUCAGCUUAUUCUAGAAGCCCAACAAUAUCUUUUUAGAAGCCUAUUAAUUAACACUCGACUAGUAGGCUUCUAAAAUAUUUUUUUUUUGAGUUUCUAGCAUAAGCUGGGUAGGGGGUAGCAUAUUCUAAAAGCCACGAAAAGAACUGGUCGUAAAUUUGAUCCUCACAACAUCUCCAACAGAUGAUGUAGAAAUGUUGUCGUGCCCAAAAGCCAUCAUUUAGGGGACUUUGGAACAAAAAGGUUGUAGGGCAGCCCAAAAAUUUAGUUUCUACCACUGCAUAUUUGCAGCACUGCCACGGUUGCAGCAAAAACCGACCCGCACGACGCCAAAACCCAACCUCCCGCUUAGCAUUCACCACCCGCAGCCCUCCGCGUGGUGGCAUCAUUGUCGAUUUUGACCGCCACAACCAUCUGAAAGUGCGUUAAGUCGACUAGAGGGGGGUGAAUAGGCGAUUUUUAUGAAUUCUUCACUGAGGAAUUUCAGGGUGAGGAAAUUCCUAAGAGAAGAACUACUUGCAGCGGAAUAAGUACUCAGAUGCAAACAUAACAGAACAUAAGCAUAGUCAUCAUGAUGAAAUAAAAACACGCACAAAGUACAGAAAUCGUAAACACAGGAUAAACAAGAUGAAGAUAGACAGACUGAAGAAAUUGAACUAAGGAAAUUAAGAAAGUCUUCAGUCAAAGUGUUCAAACUGAUAUGAACAAGCACACAACACAGUAAUGAGGAAAUGGAUGAGUUGAGGAAAUAGAACCAGUAGGCUUGGUGAAGACAAUGAUUUGGUACACCAGCUCCAACUGCUGUGAUAGUUGUACGUCUGGUUGGAGCGGCUAGGUAUUUAAACAUGAGGACACACAGUCCCGGACACACAGUCAUCGCCGUAUUCUCCUUGAGCUAAGGUCACACAGACCUCGCCCAAUCACUCGUGGUAAGUCUUCAGGUGACUUCCAAACCUUGACAAACUCGGUCACUCGGCGAUCCACAAUUUCCUCUUGGAUGCUCUAGACCAUGAUGCCUAACCGUCUGGAAGAUGCAUAGUCUUCAAAGGUAACAAGCGUCGGAUCCACGCAGGAUCAAUCUCUUCAGUGAUGCUCAAUCACUUUGGGUUUGUAGGUGUUUGGGUUUGGGUUUUCCUCACUUGAUGAUUUUCGCUCAAAGUCCUCGGAGGAUGGGAUGCUCUCAAAUGACAAGUGUCAGUUUCUCUCGGAGCAGCCAACCAGCUAGUGGUUGUAGGGGGCGGCUAUUUAUAGCCUAGGGAGCAGCCCGACAUGAUAAGACAUAAAUGCCCUUCAAUGAUAUGACCGUUAGGUGGGUAGAUAUUUUGGGGCAGCUGGCGCAUAGCACAGCAACGGUCGGAAAUUUGACUAUCAAAUUCCUCAGGGCUAUCAUGUUCCUCACUUGUAGGCAAUCCGCACUGGCGAAUUCCUAACUCUUCAGUUAGAACAAAUUCCUCAGAGACCAGAAGAACUUCGUCUCUGUUACUGCAGAAAUUAACUGAGCUGCAUGAGAUUUCCAAUGGCCUCUCUCGAAAGGAUUGGUAGGUGUAGGAUUUUGAGUUGAGCAUCACAUGGAAAUUUUUCAUUAGUAUUUCCUCGACCCCCUUUAACAGUACGGUGUUUCCUAUGACUCAAGAAAGAGGAAAUGAAACUGCGAAAACAAAAGUCUUCACGCUUCAUGUUCCUCGCAUGAAAUCCAAGUUUUCAGGGUCACGGCAAUUUCUUCAAUUUCAAAGUCUUCAGAAAGUCUUCAGAAAUUCAAAGUUUUCAGUUGAAGACAUUCAUUUUUAGGGGUCAACUUUCUCUGUAAAUAUCAAACUCCUCAUAGACUUAUAGACCUGUGUACACUCACAAACAUAUUAGUUCCCUAACCUAUAAGUCUUCAAUACACCAAAAUCACUAAGGGGCACUAGAUGCACUUACACCAUCGCCACCCCACCCUGCCGCCGAGAUCCCGAUUGAUUGUUCUCGCUUCCACUGCAUCCCCACAUGCUGCUCGAAGUAGUCGCCGUCCCAUCGCUAUCUGAAUUCACCCGCCCCAUUGCCAACAAUUGACAGAUCCAUCGUUCUAUCUAUUUAAGUCGCGUGGCACCCGAUUCGGCCCCCUCUCAUAUCAAACAAUUGUACGAUGUGGCCACUAGGCUCCACUGCGUCAAGGAGGCUGCUGCGCUGCCCAGCCGCGAAUUUGAAAUUUUAGGGCACUAGUUUACAUCAUCUAUUACGGUAGAAAAUUUUCAAUUGCCGAAAACUUUCUCUGUCAGGGGUUUGGUGUGACAUAUGCCAAAGGAUGGCUUAUCAUGGUGGGAGCUAGUAAGACAUCGCCGGUGCCUGGAAACGGGAUAAGGCGUAGACACGAACGCCGACGCACUUUACCCAGGUUCGGGGCUCUCCUAGGAGAUAACACCCCUAGUCCUGCUCUGCGGGGUCUCCGCAUGAUCACUAAAUCAACAAGUAUCUACAAGUGCUCCUUGAGCUAUUUGCUAGAAGAGGAAGAAGGGCAAGGCUAGCUCUCUCUUCUCUCUAUGCGGUGAGUGUGGUCUCUCAGGGGCUGAACCCUUUGCAUGGGGGCCCUGGAGGGUUUAUAUAGGCCUACCCCCCAGGGGUACAAAGGUAAUUGGGCCGGGUGUGGGGACCCGACUGUUAGUAUCUAUGGUCGUCGGCUUCUCCGCCGGCUGUCUCGUACUUGGCCGACAGGCCGCGCCCGCCACUGGCGGGUCUUGCUGGCUACUUACUACUGUAGCCGAGCGGUUGAUGAUACUUGCUUUGUCGGGGAAGGCAUGGCUACAGUCCCGCCGCUUGGUGGGCGUUCACUGUAGCCACUCCCCGUCUCUUCUAAUUAAUGGCUCACGAACUUCGAGGAGGGGUAGGGCCGCCUGGUCAGGAGCCGGCGACCUCCCGAGCCGACUGGUCGGAGCUAGCCGCCCUCUGGCUUCUCACGGAGAGGUGGGGGCCGUCGUCAGGGGGCCGUACCGACACCCCGUUGUGGGAACAUGGCCUUCUCUGCCAUGGGUGACGUCAUGGGCCGCGUGGUAACAGUGUCGCGCAGGGCGGGGGAUGUCCGUCCAGUACACCGCACUGUAGCCACGUUCCGCCCUGGAUUCGCGGGUGGCAGGCCGCACUGUAGCCACGCCCCGCCACGUCAUUAUAAUGUGGGUGCUAACUUUGAGGACACGGGGGGCCACCUGCUAGGAGCCGGCUUCUCUGGAAGCCGCCUGCUAGGAGCCGGCCCUCUUCGAGGCCGCCUCCCGGAGUCCCCCAGGCUUCGGCAGCCGGCCGCUUGGACCAGCCGGCCUCAAGAAGGUGGCACUUCGUCCUUGAUGCUUGAGGGGCGCUUCUGGCCCCGAUGUCUUGAAAUACCAGGGGAGACUGAUGAGGCUACCCAUGGUCAUUUACUCCGAUAGUAGUCCCCGAAGCUGAUGGGGCGCCGCGGCUGAAAGGGCGAGAUGCCUCACCAGCUUCCUACUCCGAGUGGUCGGCAAUCAUGCUUCGUCCGUCUUCUGAGGCGCCGACAGCUAGGAGUCGGCCGGGACCAGGCGGGCUGCCUGGUGUUUUCGAAACAUAGAGGCGGGAGCCACGUGGCGCGCCAGCCAGGUGCCAGGCCGGCCGCCUGCUACCUACAUGCCAUGUGGCGCCAACCUGCCGGGCGGGCCUGCCAGCCCACGCGUGUGACGGCACGUCGCCGCAGGUUGGGACCCGCCAUUACCGGGCCUCGGCGCGCGUGCGGAUCCGGUGCGGCCGAGGCGUACAGUUAGGGUUCCACGGCGCAGUAACUGCACGCCGUUUCUGCGCGGUAAACAUGGGGGCAUGGGGUCGUGGGCGCAGUUAAUCUCACGUCCCCCCACGUUUCCGCCCCCUCGGCUUCGCCGCCUGUGGCUAUAAGUAGAGGGGGAGGAGGUGGGCGGCAAGCGCACGCACCCCCUACUCUCCCUUCGCCUUUCUCUUCUUCCUUCCUUUCUUCACUGCCGCGACGCUCCUGCCUCUCUACCAAAACGCCGCCAUAGCUCGUCGUCACCGAGCCUUUCCCUCCUGCGGUGCUGCCGCUCUUCCGUGGGUUGGCUUCCUCUUCCGCAGGUUCGUUCGCUCUUCGCUGCGCCGUGCCUCCAUCGAGCUUCAAGCUCUCAUGGCGCGCGACAAGGCGAACUCCGGCGCCUGGGACGGCUCCAAUGUCCACAAGGAUCACCUCGACUUCCUCUGCAACACGCGGCGGUUGCCCGGCGCAGGCUAUGUAGAGGUGCGCGUCCCGCCGGCACCGAAAGACGGCGAACGCGUCGUGUUUCGGUCACACUUCAUUCGUGGCUUCGUCCUGCUGGCCAGCGGCUUUCUUCGCUCCUUCCUCAAAUUCUAUCACCUUCAGCCUCACCACCUCACACAAAACACGGUGGUGCUGCUAUCGGCCUUCGUUACGCUCUGCCAGGGCUACCUCGGCAUCCUCCCCACCCUCGAGCUCUGGGGCGAGUUCUUCUACACUAAGCUUGGGGUUGCCGUCAAGGAGACGCCGGCUCAGUGCGGAGCAUUCGACGCGGUGCGACGUCCAGGAGCCGGGAACUGCUUCCCGCCCAUGAGCUUGACACAAUCAGUCAAGCUGUGGAAAAAUCUUACUUUUAUGUCAAGAACGUCCACCCAAUGGCUGACUUCGUCAACCUGCCGGCUUAUACAGUCGGCCCGCCAGCCGAGCCUCGCACUAACUGGACCUUCAAGCCGAAGGCGCUAUUGGCCGCCUCCACCGCCGCCAUCGCCCAGCUCAAGGUGAUGGUGGAGUCGGAAGGCCUCCAGGGGUCGGACCUUCUGACCGCCUUCGUGGUGCGCCGGGUGCUCCCUCUUCAAGGCCGGCCUCACAUGAUCAGUCAGAUGAGCGGGUGCCGAGACCCAUGCCGGCUGAGCACCAAACAGAUGCCGGGCACGGAAGUGGCCCUGAUGGUGAACCAGAUCUCGAACUACAAACUCUCGGAGGACGAGUGGCAGUUCGGUAAGCUGUCGUACCCUCGCACGCGUCCGCCGCCCGCAGUAAGUCUCUAACUCUCCUUUCUUCUAACUUGCCGGAUUCUGCUUUGCCGUCUGAUUAGUUGGUUGUGAUACAGAUCUCCAUGUCCCAGUCGGCGGCCGACGCCCUGGAGCAGGACCAUGAGUACCUGCCGGACCAGGUGGUGAGCGAUGCGGACAACACCGACUUGGGGGCGGCCGCCUUGGAAGAGGAUGACGCCACAGGCGGCGGUGGUGGAGCGGGCGGCUCCAGAGGAGGAGGAGGCCUUGAUGAAUGGCCAGACGAGGAGGAGGAGGUCGAGCCGCGCCGCCCGCCUGGCGCUAACAAGGUGGGCACAAGUUCCUCAACCGCGCCGGCCGCACCAGGCGGCGCGCGGAAGCGCCGAACCUGCCUGCCUCAGUUCGACAGCCGGUCGAAGAAAUCGAAGAGCACGGCCGCCACGACCAGGCGGGAGGAGGCCACCACGAAAGCGGCCUGGUUCCAGAAGGCCACGAAGCAGUCGCCGAUGGUGUCUUCAUAAGUUUUUUGUUACCCCUUGUGUUUCCUUUUCUUUUCUCUUGCCAACUCCUUCUGCCUUUCUUUUAGUCUUGAACAGGGCCCCGCUCUCUCUUGAGCGGUCUGACUCUGCGUCCGUUUUCGGGAUGGCGGAGGGCUCCACCAACCCCCGCCGCGUGGACCCGCGCGCCGCGCUCUAGGCGGAGACGGAGCGGAAUGCGCGGGAGGCGCGUGAGGAGCGGGAGAGGGCGGAGAAGGAGAAGGCGGACGCUGCCAAGGCGGCGCAGGAGGAGGCCGAUGCAGCGGCCAAGGCCCAGGCCGACGUCGCGGCUAAGGCCCAGGCGGAUGCGGCCACCAAGGCGCAAGCAGAGGAGGCGGCCCAUGGCCGAACCCCACGACUCAUCAUCCCUCUAUGUUGCGCGCCGCCGGCACCAGAGACCCAUGCGCCGACUGGGGGAGCCGGCAACGACCAGCCAGUCAUGGAGAGGGGAGGGAGCGAGCCCGUCGACAUGGAGGCGGAAGCGACCACGCCUAUGCCGACUGUCGACGCUCAGGCCAGUCAUCCUGAGGUGCUGCAAGCACCGCCAGUUGGUGGCGAGCUGGUGGGGGGGUGACCCCGGCGGUGCGUACUCCGGUGCGCCACCGCACAGAGAAGGUGGCCUCAGCACCACAGCCGCAGGAGGUCAGGGCGGCCAGCUCGUCAGCUCCUGACGCAGAGGCCACCAGCCGCGCCCCGCCAGAAUGGACGCCUGGGGGCGGCACGGCCGUCCUGAACACAGCCGCGCAAGACAUCCGGGCCUUGCUCCAAGCCCAGGGCGCUUCUCUUUAGGAGUACACGAAGGCGUUCGUGGCGACGCGAACUGCCGUUCGGGUAUGCUUUUGUUUUUGAUUCUUGACUUUGUAAUCUUCCGUGGGGGCGCGUCAGCGCACCCACUAGGUGUAGUCCCCGAGUUCUGGGCCGGCUGCUGAGCAGGCGACCUGGAACUUUCAGGUUGGCUCGAGUGCUGACUUGCUUUCUCUUAUUGUCGUCUUCCUUGCAGGACUAUCACAACAUCUGUGCGGCCGCCUUCAACUCCCAUAUCCAGGAGCUGGCCAAGCGGAACACUUACUUGGUUGAGAGCCAGAUUAAGCACUCCAUCUUCUUUCUCUUGCGGGGGUGGGUCAGCGCACCCGCUGGGUGUAGUCCCCGAGAUUCGGGCUGACUGCUGAGCAGUCGGGCCGGAUCUUCUCGGUGUUUACUUGUCUUUUCGCUGAUUGUCGACCGUCUUUUCUUUCUUGUUUUUGCAGAAACCAACGCCGCCUUGCGGCAGGAACUGGGUGAGGCCCAAACCGCGCUGCGUGCCAAGGAGGCGGAGUGCAGCAUGGAGGCUGAAGAGCGUGACCGCUUGCCAAGGAGUUGGCUAACCAGGCGGACCGCCACAAGGUGGCCCUUCAGAAAGCGAAGGACAACGAGACCAGCCUCCUGGCCGAGUUUGAGACCGAGCGCUCGAACUGGGUCAAGGAGAAGAAGGCUCUGACCGACGGCUAUAGCGACAUCAAGGACAGGAUUGACGGUAAGUCGCUUCUUCCUUAGCUUGGUCGCCAACUGGCUGGAGGUGGCAGCUAGCCGUCUUGAGGCGUGGAAAGGCUCCUCAGCCCGGGCGGGUGCUCGCAGGGCCUUGGAAUUCGUCAAAGCCUGGUACCCCGGUCUGGACCUCGACCAGCUGGCCACUUUUCGGCAGGAAGCUACCGGGGAAUUGGCAGUGGUGGCAGCUAAGCUAAAUCAGCAUGCAGCGGCAAAUCACCGAGUACACCAACACCGACAACUUCAUCCCUGAGUUGGACGAGGAGGGUGUCGAACUGCCGGCUAACUGGUUUGGGCUGAACCCUGCUGAUGGCAAAGACUCGAUGGAGGAGAUAGCCUCCAGUGAUGAAGGCGAAGGCGAUGAGAGCGAGGAUGGCGAAGACGACGCACCGGAGGGCGGAGCGGACGGCCAACCUCAGCUCGAUCGUGCCUCAAGUAGCGAGUCGCGUGCGGAUGCAUUGGCUGCUGUCGGAGGCAACCGAGCCAAGAUUCACCAGCCGGCCACUCCACCAGCCGGUGCCACCGACUCCACCAGCCUGCCAGACCCGCCUGCUGCUCCUCUGGCCUAGGCAGCCAGUUUUAUCUUUCCUGCUUUGUAGUUUCUUUUGAAGGAAACUUGUUAAUUCGCACAAUUCCACCUGCUGGGGGUGUAUUCAAACUUUGUAGAAUGCUGGCCAAGGGCCUUUUGACGUGUAAAUAUAAUCUCGCACGAGAUGUGCUUUGCCGAUUUCUACUUUUCUUGCUUUCUGUUCUUUGGAUUUUCCUUUGCCGCCUUCCCUCAGUUGCUGCCUUGCCAGCCAGACGGCCGCUCUGUGGUCCAUGGCUAGGUCAAGUGCUUGGCCGCUUUGGGGAGACAAGUACUUAACCGUUUUUAGAACAUAGCAAGUUAAGCAAGAAGCUGACCGGCCGGCUGCUCGACAGCCGGCCGGAGAGGCAAGAAGCCAGCUUGGGCAAUGUGAGUACCUUGGUCCUUAGCCAUCUUUCAUGUGGGCACCAUUUCCUGCCUUUGACUCCUACCAGCCGAACAGUCGCUCUGCGAGCUACGGCUUGUGGCAAGAGAGGGCUUAGGUGCCAGCACAUUACUUGUCUGACUGCAGGUAGUACUGAGAUAGUACAUGGCGGCAAGCCCCCGGGCCGACUGGUUGAGCCCGGUGCCAGCCGGAAGAAAGGGAUGACACAUUCAUAGGCAGAAUACUUAUCAUAUAGAUAAAAAGGGUAGUCCCCGAGUGCUCCUUGAGGGACCCUGAUGUCUUAGCACUUAAUACAAAUGGUAGCGUGGUACAUACUGCAUCAACUAUAAAAUCUUCGAAGGAGAUUUGCAUUCCAUGGGCGCUCCGACUCCUUGUCGGAGUCGUGUCUCUUGCGUGCUCUGGGCUUCUGUGCGUCGAUGAGGUAGUAGGAGUCGUUGCCCAAAGCUUUGCUGAUGAUGAAGGGGCCUUCCCAAGGGGCUGAGAGCUUGUGUUGGCCUAUUGUUCGCUGGAUCAGCCGGAGCACAAGGUCUCCCUCUUGGAAGGAUCUAGGCUUGACCUUCCGGUUGUGGUAUCGGCGCAGGCUCUGCUGGUAGAUGGCAGACCGGCUGAGUGCCAACAGCCGGCCCUCUUCCAGCAGAUCGACGCCGUCUUCUCGUGCUUCCUUCACUUCUGCCUCCAUGUACAUGGUGAAGCGGGGCGAGUCAAACUCAAUGUCGGUUGAGAUGACGGCCUCGGCACCAUAUACGAGAAAGAAUGGAGUGAAGCCGGUUGAUUUGUUUGGAGUGGUGCGGAGGCUCCAUAGGACAACCGGCAGCUCGUCGAUCCAGUAGCCGGCCGAGCGCUCCAGUGGCUCGACCAGUCGGGGCUUGAUGCCGGACCAAAUGAGGCCGUUUGCUCGGUCGACUUGGCCGUUUGACUGCGGAUGGGCAACGGAUGCUAAGUCCAGUCGGAUGCCCUGCGUCGCACAGAAAUGAUCCAAGGCGCCUUUGGCAAAGUUCGUGCCAUUGUCGGUGAUGAUGCUGUGCGGUACACCGUGCCGGACAGUGAUAUCUGCGAUGAAGGUCACAGCAGUGGGACCAUGGAGCUUCUUGAUUGGCUUUGCUUUGAUCCACUUCAUGAAUUUGUCCACGUCGACAAGUAGAUGGGUCAUGCCGCCGCGUGCUGCCUUGAAUGGUCCCACCAUAUCCAGCCCCCAGAUGGCAAAGGGCCAAGUGAGGGGGAUGGUCUUGAGUGCAGAAGCCGGUAGGUGUUGCUUGGAGCUAAACUUCUGGCACCCUUUGUAGUGCUUGACCAACUCCUUGGCAUCUUCCAAACCAGUCGGCCAGAAGAAACCAUGGCGGAAAGCUUUGGCGACAAGGGAUCUGGAGGCCACGUGGUGGCCGAACUCGCCUUGGUGGAUAUCUUUGAGGAUUGCUUGACCUUUCUCUUGUUCCACGCAGCGCUGGAAGACCCCAGUCACGCUGCGCGUGACAAGCUCUCUGUUUACUAUCGUGUAUGCCCCUGCUCGGCGCUGCACUUGCCGGGCCGGGAUCUCAUCGGCCGGCAGCUCUUUGUUUUCCAAAAACUUGAGGAUGGGUUGUGCCCAUGACGGUGCUUGAAUUUCUUCAGCUGCUACCACAGCUACUUGUACUAGAGCGGUUGGGUUGGGAGGCGGCGGGUUGGAGUCGGUCGCCACUUGCUGCGUUGUUGAAGUCCCUGAGCCGGGCUUUGAAGUCCCCGGGCCGACUGCUGCAGUCCCAGGGCCGGGUGCGAGUGCAGCAGUCCCCGAGCCACCUGCCGAAGUCCUCGGGCUGACUGCUGAGGUCCCCAAGUUGGAUCCGACUGUUCCAGGAGCAGCCGGCACGAAGAUGGAGUCUGAUUCUAGCGAGGGCUUGAUAGACGGGUUGCAGAGGCACUGAAGGGCGACGCCGACUGGUAUUGCUUGACAGGUGGAGCCGAUCCGUGCCAGGGCAUCAGCUUGCUCGUUGUCGUUCUGUGGUACGUGAAGGAACUCACACGCUUCAAAGUAUCCGCUGAGCUGCUGGACGAGGAAGCGGUAGCUCGCCAUGUUUGCAUCCUUGGCAUCCCAGUCGCUAGACGACUGUUGGACCACCAAGUCUGAGUCGCUGUAGCACCGGAUCUGGCGGAUGCCGAGUUCUUUGGACAGCCGGAGCCCGUGUACGAGUGCCCCAUACUCGGCCACGUUGUUGGAGGCGGCAAAGUAGAUUUGCAAUGUAUAUCUGAGCUUGUCGCCUUUGGGAGAGGUGAGGAUGAUGCUGGCUCCCAAACCGGUGUGCAUCUUUGAGCCAUCGAAGUGCAUCCGCCAAUGAGUGCAGUCCGGAGCUGGCGGCAGGUACUGGGUCUCGGCCCAGUUGACAAGGAAGUCGGACAGUGCUUGGGACCUGAUGGCGGUGUGGGGCUGGUAGAAGAUGGUGUAGGGGGACCAAAUCAAUGGCCCACUUGGCCACCCGGCCAGAUGCAUCUCGACUUCCAAUGAUCUCAGCAAGUGGAGUAGUGCAGACAACCGUGAUUGGGUGCUCUUGAAAGUAUGGCUUCAGCUUCUUGGCGGCAAAGUGCACGCCGUAGCACAUCUUCUGGUAGUGAGGGUAGUUCUGCUUUGAGGAUGACAGCACCUCGCUUAAGUAAUACACAAGCCUCUGGACCGGCAGUGCUUUGCCGUCUUCUUUGUGUUCCACUACCACGACCGUGCUAACCACCCGACUGGUGGCGGCGAUGUAGAGGAGCAUGGGCUCCUUAGCAGCCGGAGCGGACAGAACAGGCGGCGUGGUCAACAUCUUCUUCAACUGGAGAAAAGUUUCAUCCGCCUUAUCAUUCCACUCGAAAUGAGUGGUCUUCUUCAUGAGCUGGUACAGGGGAAGAGCCUUCUCGCUAGUCGACUGAUGAAUCAGCUGAUGGAUGCCAAGCAACCGAUAAACUUCUGGACGUCUCGCAGUCAGGUGGGUUUCUCCAUCCUCUCGAUGGCUUUGAUUUUCACAGGGUUGCACUCAAUGCUGCAGUCUGAAACCAGGAAGCCAAGGAGCUGGCCGGCUGGUACUCCGAAUACACAUUUCUCCGGGUUGAGCUUGAUUUGAAAUCGGCGCAGAUUUUCAAAGGUUUCCUUGAGAUCUUCUAAGAGAGUCCCGCGUUUCUCCGUCUUCACCACAAUAUCGUCUACAUAGACAUGGGCAUUUCUGCUGAGCUGCUUGAGGAGACACUUCUGCAUACAUCUCUGAAAGGUGGCACCGGCAUUUCUCAAGCCGAAUGUCAUGGUUAGGUAGCAGAAGGCUCCGAAUGGUGUGAUGAAGGCGGUCUUCAGGCGGUCGGCCGGGUUCAGCUUGAUCUGGUGCUACCCUGAGUAGGCAUCCAAGAAACUCAACAGCUCGCAUCCGGCUGUGGAGUCAAUCACUUGGUCAAUCCGAGGCAAAGCAAAUGGGUCCUUGGGGCAGGCUUUGUUGAGACUGGUGUAAUCAAUGCACAUGCGCCACUUGUUAUUUUUCUUCAGUACAAGGACUGAGUUGGCAAGCCAUUCUGGGAAGAAAACUUCCAUGAUGAAGCUGGCUGCUAGGAGCCGGGAUAUCUCUUCACCAGCAAUUCUUCUUUUUUCUUCCGAAAGUCGGCGGAGGGGUUGUCUGACUGGUUUGGCAUCUGCUCUUACAUGUAGUUUGUGCUCGGCGAAGUCCGUCGGGACGCCUGGCAUGUCUUUGGGAGACCAUGCAAAGAUAUCCCAAUUCUCACGGAGGAAAUUGACGAGCUCGCUUUCCUAUUUGCUAUCUAGGUUAGCACCAUGACUGUGUGCCUCUCCGGGUGCUCAGGGUCCAAGGGAAUCUUCUUUGUUUCUUUGGCCGGUUGGAAAGAGCCCUGGGUUUCUGACUCUUUGGGUUCUGGUGAUAGGUCCGGCUGCUUGCUGGCCAUGGCCACCACCCAGUCCAGGAGAUUACCAGGGACUCGGCCAGCUGGCUGCUGGCUGCAGCACAGUCGGCCGACUUCUUGUAGACUCUAGCUAUAGUGAUAAUGCCCAUGGUUCCUGGCAUCUUCAUCUUGAGGUAUGCAUAAUGUGGUACUGUCAUGAACUUGGCCAGAGCAGGUCGGCCAAGCAGUGCAUGGUAACGGCUCUCCAGGUCCACCACCUCAAACCAAAUGGCUUCACGGCGAAAAUGAUUCUUGUCUCCGAAGAGGACAUCUAUCUUGAUCUUUCCGAUUGGCGAGUAGGAAAGGUCGGGCACAAUGUCGUGGAAGACAGUCCGGCUGGGCUGGAGCUGCUUCACUUUGAUGCUCAACUUCUCCAUGGUAUCGCGGUAAAGGAUGUUGAUGCUGCUGUCGCCAUCUAUGAGGACUCGGGAAAAAUGAGCAGCUCGCCUCUCUGUUGCAAAGGUAGCAUCCAGUACCAGGGCAUAAGAACCCGGGGAAGGCAUUACUUCUGGAUGGUCAGCUCGGCUCCAGCUGAUGGGCUUCUCGGACCAGUGCAUGUAUUCUGGGACUUCAGAGGCGACAGCGUUGACCUCUUGGUGUUGCUGACGCUGACUGCGCUUAUCGUCAGCCUGGCUGGUGAAGACAACGUAGGCUCCGUGCUCCUCAGGAAAUUCAUCUUGGAUGGCGCCGACUGCUGGACGAGCCGCCGACUACUGAGGAGGUGGCGGCGGCUGGCCAGCAGGCGGGGGAGGCAACAGUCCUUCGCCUUUGGAGAUUUGGGUGAGCUAGUGGCACUUCCGGGUGGUGUGGUUGGACGGCUUCGCGCCGCUGUGGAACUUGCAGGGGGCAUCGAGGGUUUGCUCAUAGGAAAAGGCGGGCAGCCAAGCCGACUUGCCGCCCUUCUGGCGCUUGGCUAAGGGCUGCCCCUCUGGCAGCUGGUCUUCGACUGUCGCCACCUGCCGGCUGGUGGAAGCCGACAUCGGGGCUCUGCGCUUGUUGUCGUUCUGCUGCUGGCGCCGACUGGAGUCACCACUCGGCAUUCUGGGAGCCGGAGGGAGCACCUUCCCAGAGGCGUCCACCCGGAGUUCUGACUUCAUGGAGGAGUCGGCAGUGGCGUACUUGUCUGCUAUGAUCAGCAGCUCGUCGAGUGUAGCCGGCUCGUCGCAGAGGAGUCGAUGCUUGAGGAGGGUGCCUUCUCGGCACCCGGCACCCGGCGGUGAAGUACUCUAUGGCCUGCACCUCAUGCACCCCUUUGCAGGACUUGCGCAAUUCAGCCCACCGCGUCAGGUAGUCGCGGGUGGACUCGUCAGGGCCUUGAACGCACAGCGCGAGCUAGCGGGGCUUGGGCGGCUGCUUGUACGUGCUGGUGAAGUUGCGGACGAAUACCUCGGUGAAAUCUACCCAGCUAUUGAUGCUGCGGGGCUUCAGGCUGUUUAGCCACGUCCGGGCCAUGCCCGGGAGCAUGAGCGAAACGUACUUUACGGCAACGCGCUUGUUGUCGUUCGCUAUGCUGACUGCGAUGGAGUAGUUGACCAACCAGUCCUCCGGCUUCACAGAGCCGUUGUACUUGGGUGUAUCUCGUGGGAGCGAGAACCCAUUAGGGAAUAGCUCGUCGCGUAUGCGGGGGCCGAAACAAGGCGGGCCCAAUGUGUCUUCUUCUUCUAGUGCCUGGGAUCGGGCAAGGCGGUCGAUCCGGUGGCGUGUGUCGUUCUCUCCGACUCCUUCUCGGCGGCCCAGCCGGUCCCCGAGUGUCUGGUGCUCUACAGGCGGCGGGGAAGCACGCCUCUCCCUGCGAGGAGGAGGAGGUGGACAGUCAUCCCGUCCUUCCACUGCUCGUGGGCAGCCAUCUUGGUCGUGCUCGAUGGUGAGGCGUGUGCGGGUGUGGCUGACAGUCGGCUCUUUGUCUCGUAUGUCGCGAACGCCGCCUGUUGGCGUCCGGGAGGUCGCUCCUUGAUCUCGGCGAGGGGGCAGGUUCUCAACCCGCUGGCCGGGUCCUUCUGCGCGGCAGACGGCUUCUUGUUGCGCAGCGGCCGCGUCAAUGAGCUGUUGAACGCCCUCCGUCAUGCAGCGGCGCUCGUCGCCCUCGAGGUGGUCCAGCUCGUCAGUUGCUGAUACGUCUCCAACGUAUCUAUAAUUUUUUAUUGCUCCAUGCUAUUAUAUAUUCUGUUUUGGAUGUUUAAUGGGCUUUAUUAUACACUUUUAUAUUAUUUUUGGGACUAACCUAUUAACCCAAGGCCCAGUGCAAAUUGCUGUUUUUUUUGCCUAUUUCAGUGUUUCGCAGAAAAGAAAUAUCAAACGGAGUCCAAACAGAAUGAAACCUUCGGGAGCGUGAUUUUUGGAACAAACGUGAUCCAGAGGACUUGGAGUGGACGUCAAGCAAUCAACGAGGAGGCCACGAGGUAGGGGGCGCGCCUACCCCCCUGGGCACGCCCUCCAGCCUUGUGGGCCCCUCGUGGCUCCACCGACCUACUUCGUCCUCCUAUAUAUACCUACGUACCCCAAAACCAUCGAGGAGCACCACGAAAAACUAUUUCCACCGCCGCAACCUUCUGUACCCGUGAGAUCCCAUCUUGGGGCCUUUUCCGGUGCUCCGCCGGAGGGGGCAUCGAUCACGGAGGGCUUCUACAUCAACACCAUAGCCUCUCCGAUGAUGUGUGUGAGUAGUUUACCACAGACCUUCGGGUCCAUACUUAUUAGCUAGAUGGCUUCCUCUCUCUCUCUCUCUUUGGAUCUCAAUACAAAGUUCUCCUCGAUGUUCUUGGAGUUCUAUUCGAUGUAACUCUUUUUACGGUGUGUUUGUCGAGAUCCGAUGAAUUGUGGGUUUAUGAUCAAGAUUAUCUAUGAACAAUAUUUGAAUCUCCUCUGAAUUCUUUUAUGUAUGAUUGGUUAUCUUUGCAAGUCUCUUUGAAUUAUCACUUUGGUUUGGCCUACUAGAUUGAUCUUUCUUGCAAUGGGAGAAGUGCUUAGCAUUGGGUUCAAUCAUGCGGUGCUCGAGCCCAGUGACAGUAGGGGAAACGACACGUAUUGUAUUGUUGCCAUCGAGGAUAAAAAGAUGGGGUUUAUAUCAUAUUGCAUGAGUUUAUCCCUCUACAUCAUGUCAUCUUGCUUAAAGCGUUACUCCGUUCUUAUGAACUUAAUACUCUAGAUGCAUGCUGGAUAGCGGUCGAUGUGUGGAGUAAUAGUAGUAGAUGCAGGCAGGAGUCGGUCUACUUGUCACAGACGUGAUGCCUAUAUACAUGAUCAUACCUAGAUAUUCCCAUAACUAUGCUCAAUUCUAUCAGUUGCUCGACAGUAAUUUGUUCACACAUCGUAAUACUUAUGCUCUUGAGAGAAGCCACUAGUGAAACCUAUGGCCCCGGGUCUAUUCUCUAUCAUAUUAAUCUACAGUUAUUUCUAUUACCGUUUAUUUUGCUUUCUUUACUUUUAAUCUUUAUCAUAAAAAUACCAAAAAUAUUAUCUUAUCAUAUCUAUCAGAUCUCACUUUUGCAAGUGGCCGUGAAGGGAUUGACAACCCCUUUAUCGCGUUGGUUGCAAGGUUCUUAUUUGUUUGUGUAGGUACGAGGGACUUGCGUGUGGCCUCCUACUGGAUUGAUACCUUGGUUCUCAAAAACUGAGGGAAAUACUUAUGCUACUUGCUGCAUCACCCUUUCCUCUUCAAGGGAAAACCAACGCAGUGCUCAAGAGGUAGCAAGAAGGAUUUCUGGCACCAUUGCCGGGGAGUCUACGCACAAGUCAAGACAUACCAAGUACCCAUCACAAACUCUUACCCCUCGCAUUACAUUAUUUGCCAUUUGCCUGUCGUUUUCCUCUCCCCCACUUCACCCUUGCCAUUUUAUUCGCCCUCUCUUUCCGUUCGCCUCUUUUCCGCUUGUUCCAUCGUUAUGGCUAGUCCUUUAUCUACUCCUUUCUCUCCCGAGAAUGAAGUUAUUAAUUUUAAGCAAAGGGAGGGAGAAAAUCUAAAAUAUGCUUGGUAUAGAAUUUGCAACGCUCAAAACAAAUCUGCUAGGAAGCAAUCUACUUCCGUUCUUCUUCGCAAUUUUUAUGUAGGCGUCACUCCUUGGAAUAGAUAUAUUCUUGAUACCAUUACCGGAGGGAAUUUCUUGGGUAGCCAUACUUUUGAUUCUUAUAAUGCUAUGAUAGAUUUGUUUGGCUCACCACCUCUUUUGGUGAAUGGAACUAUGUUAACUUUGGAACAUGUGAUGCAAAGGCUUGAAAUUAUUGAAAAUAAAAUUGCUACCGUAGAGUCGAUAGAGAAUUUCGAUAAAAAGAUCCACAAUCAAAUCACCCAAUACGGAUCUAAGGUAGGAGUUACUCUGAAAAGCUUUAAAGAAAAAGAACCCUUAGUUAAUGAAAAAAUAGAUCAAGAUUCCUCUAGAAUUGAUAAGCUUGAGGGUAUUAUUACCAACUUAGGGUCCGCUUUUUCUUCCGUAAGAAAUACUCCAAACCCUCCUACCAAAAUUGCCAAGCUUAUGUAUGUUCCUAAAAAUAAGGGUGAAUCUUCUAGUAAGGAAACUGCGGAUAUCAAAUCAAUAAGUGUGCACCCCAACCUUUUUGCUAUCAUUAAGGAACUGUUUGCUACAAAUGAAUUUCUUGAUUUCUUGCCUAAGAGUUUGAUGAUUAAUAAGAAGAAAGAAACUCCUAAGGGUUAUAGGUGUUCUAUUGAAGAAUUGCCCACCAAAUAUGGCAAUACCUAGAUCUAUCCUUGCUUUUAUGCCUAGCUAGGGGCGUUAAACGAUAGCGCUUGUUGGGAGGCAACCCAAUUUUAUUUUUGUUUCUUUGCUUUUUGCUCCUGUUUAGGAAUAAAUAUUUGAUCUAGCCUCUGGUUAGAUUUGUUUUUAUGUUUUAAUUAGUGUUUGUGCCAAGUAAAACCUAUAGGAUCUUCUCGGAUGAUAGUUAUUUGAUCUUGCUGAAAAAGUUAGAAACUUUCUGUUCAUGAAAACAAUUGUUAAAAAGCACCAGAACGUGAUAAAAUACUGAUUCCAAUUGCAGUAGAUCAAUAAACAAAUUAUCAAGGUCGUCCUAUUUUGGUAGAUUUUUCUGAUUUCCAGAAGUUUGCGUUAGGUACAGAUUACUACCGACUGUUCUGUUUUUGACAGAUUCUGUUUUUCGUGUGUUGUUUGCUUAUUUUGAUGAAUCUAUGGCUAGUAUCGGAGUUUAUGAACCAUAGAGAAGUUGGAAUACAUUAGGUUUAACACCAGUACAAAUAAAGAAUGAGUUCAUUACAGUACCUUGAAGUGGUGUUUUGUUUUCUUUCGCUAACGGAGCUCAUGAGAUUUUCUGUUGAGUUUUGUGUUGUGAAGUUUUCAAGUUUUGGGUAAAGAUUUGAUGGAUUAUGGAACAAGGAGUGGCAAGAGCCUAAGCUUGGGGAUUCCCAUGGCACCCCAAGGUAUAUCCAAGGACACCAAAAAGCCAAAGCUUGGGGAUGCCCCGGAAGGCAUCCCCUCUUUCGUCUUCGUCCAUCGGUAACUUUACUUGGAGCUAUAUUUUUAUUCACCACAUGAUAUGUGUUUUGCUUGGAGCGUCUUGUAUGAUUUGAGUCUUUUUAUUUUCGUUUACGACAAUCAUCCUUGCUGUACACACCUUUUGGGAGAGACACACAUUUAUCGGAAUUUAUUAGAAUACUCUUUGUGCUUUACUUAUAUCUUUUGAGCUAUAUAGUUUUGCUCUAGCGCUUCACUUAUAUCUUUUAGAGCACGGCGGUGGUUUUAUUUAAUAGAAAUAUUUGAUCUCUCAUGCUUCACUUAUAUUAUUUUCAGAGUCCUUUCGAACAGCAUGGUAAUUUGCUUUGGUUAUAAAAUUAGUCCUAAUAUGAUAGGCAUCCAAGAUUAGUAAAAACUUUCAUAUAAGUGUGUUGAAUACUAAGAGAAGUUUGAUGCUUGAUGAUUGUUUUGAGAUAUGGAGGUAGUGAUAUUAAAGUUGUGCUAGUUGAGUAGUUGUGAAUUUGAGAAAUACUUGUGUUGAAGUUUGCAAAUCCCGUAGCAUGCACGUAUGGUAAAUGUUGUGUAACAAAUUUGAAACAUGAGGUGUUCUUUGAUUGUCAUCCUUAUGAGUGGCGGUCGGGGACAAGCGAUGGUCUUUUCCUACCAAUCUAUCCCCCUAGGAGCAUGCGCGUAGUGCUUGGUUUUUGAUGACUUGUAUAUUUUUUCAAUAAGUAUGUGAGUUCUUUAUGACUAAUGUUGAGUCCAUGGAUUAUACGCACUCUCAACCUUUCACCAUUGCUAGCCUCUUCGGUACCGUGCAUUGCCCUUUCUCACCUUCUGAGUUGGUGCAAACUUCGCCGGUGCAUCCAAACCCCGUGGUACGAUACGCUCUAUCACACAUAAACCUCCUUAUAUCUUCCUCAAAACAGCCACGAUACCUACCUAUUAUGCCAUUUCCAUAGCCAUUCCAAGAUAUAUUGCCAUGCAACUUUCCACCGUUCUGUUUAUUAUGACACGAUUCAUCAUUGUCAUAUUGCCUUGCAUGAUCGUGUAGUUGACAUCGUAUUUGUGGCAAAGCCACCAUGCAUAUUAUUUCAUACAUGUCACUCUUGAUUCAUUGCUCAUCCCGGUACACUACCGGAGGCAUUCAUAUAGAGUCAUAUUUUGUUCUAGUAUCGAGUUGUAAUCAUUGAGUUGUAAAUAAAUAGAAGUGUGAUGAUCCUUAUAAAUAGAGCAUUGUCCCAAAUAAAAAAAGAGAGAAAGGCCAAAUAAAAAAAGGAAGGCCCAAAAAAUAUAAUAAAAAGGGACAAUGCUACUAUCCUUUUUCCACACUUGUGCUUCAAAGUAGCACCAUGAUCUUUGAUAGAGAGUCUCUUGUUUUGUCACUUUCAUAUACAAGUGGGAAUUUUUCAUUAUGAACUUGGCUUGUAUAUUCCAACAAUGGGCUUCCUCAAAUGCCCUAGGUCAUCGUGAGCAAGCAAGUUGGAUGCACACCCACUUAGUUUCCUUUGUUGAGCUUUCAUACAUUUAUAGCUCUAGUGCAUCCGUUGCAUGGCAAUCCCUACUCCUUGCAUUGACAUCAAUUGAUGGGCAUCUCCCUAGCCCGUUGAUUAGCCGCGUCAAUGUGAGACUUUCUCCCUUUUUUGUCUUCUCCACACAACCCCCAUCAUCAUAUUCUAUUCCACCCACAGUGCUAUAUCCAUGGCUCACGCUCAUGUAUUGCGUGAAAGUUGAAAAAAGUUUGAGAUUACUAAAGUAUGAAACAAUUGAUUGGCUUGUCAUCGGGGUUGUGCAAGAUGAGAGCAUUCUUGUGUGACGAAAUGAAGCAUGGCCAAACUAUAUGAUUUUCUAGGGAUGAGCUUUCUUUGGCUAUGUUAUUUUGAGAAGACAUAAUUGCUUGGUUAGUAUGCUUGAAGUAUUAUUAUUUUUAUGUCAAUAUUAAACUUUUAUCUUGAAUCUUUCGGAUCUGAACAUUCACGCCACAAUAAAGAAAAUUAUAUUGAACAAUAUGCUAGGUAGCAUUCCACAUCAAAAUUUCUGUUUUUAUCAUUUACCUACUCGAGGACGAGCAGGAAUUAAGCUUGGGGAUGCUUGAUACGUCUCCAACGUAUCUAUAAUUUUUGAUUGCUCCAUGCUAUUAUAUAUUCUGUUUUGGAUGUUUAAUGGGAUUUAUUAUACACUUUUAUAUUAUUUUGGGGACUAACCUAUUAACCCAAGGCCCAGUGCAAAUUGCUGUUUUUUUUCCUAUUUCAGUGUUUCGCAGAAAAGAAAUAUCAAACGGAGUCCAAAUGGAAAGAAACCUUCGGGAGCGUGAUUUUUGGAACAAACGUGAUCCAGAGGACUUGGAGUGGACGUCAAGCAAUCAACGAGGAGGCCACGAGGCAGGGGGCGCGCCUACCCCCUGGGCGCACCCUCCACCCUCGUGGGCCCCUCAUGGCUCCACCGACCUACUUCUUCCUCCUAUAUAUACCUACGUACCCCGAAACCAUCGAGGAGCACCACGAAAACCUAUUUCCACCGCCGCAACCUUCUGUAGCCGUGAGAUCCCAUCUUGGGGCCUUUUCCGGUGCUCCGCCGGAGGGGGCAUCGAUCACGGAGGGCUUCUACAUCAACACCAUAGCCUCUCUGAUGAUGUGUGAGUAGUUUACCACAGACCUUUGGGUCCAUAGUUAUUAGCUAGAUGGCUUCCUCUCUCUCUCUUUGGAUCUCAAUACAAAGUUCUCCUCGAUCUUCUUGGAGUUCUAUUCGAUGUAACUCUUUUUGCCGUGUGUUUGUCGAGAUCUGAUGAAUUGUGGGUUUAUGAUCAAGAUUAUCUAUGAACAAUAUUUGAAUCUUCUGAAUUCUUUUAUGUAUGAUUGGUUAUCUUUGCAAGUCUCUUCGAAUUAUCAGUUUGGUUUGGCCUACUAGAUUGAUCUUUCUUGCAAUGGGAGAAGUGCUUAGCUUUGGGUUCAAUCAUGCGGUGCUCGAUCCCAGUGACAGUAGGGGAAACGACACGUAUUGUAUUGUUGCCAUCGAGGAUAAAAAGAUGGGGUUUAUAUCAUAUUGCAUGAGUUUAUCCCUCUACAUCAUGUCAUCUUGCUUAAAGCGUUACUCCGUUCUUAUGAACUUAAUACUCUAGAUGCAUGCUGGAUAGCGGUCGAUGUGUGGAGUAAUAGUAGUAGAUGCAGGCAGGAGUCGGUCUACUUGUCACAGACGUGAUGCCUAUAUACACGAUCAUACCUAGAUAUUCUCAUAACUAUGCUCAAUUCUAUCAAUUGCUUGACAGUAAUUUGUUCACCCAUCAUAAUACUUAUGUUCUUGAGAGAAGCCACUAGUGAAACCUAUGGCCCCGGGUCUAUUCUCUAUCAUAUUAAUCUACCGUUAUUUCUAUUACCGUUUAUUGUGCUUUCUUUACUUUUAAUCUUCAUCAUAAAAAUACCAAAAAUAUUAUCUUAUCAUCUCUAUCAGAUCUCACUUUUGCAAGUGGCCGUGAAGGGGUUGACAACCCCUUUAUCACGUUGGUUGCAAGGUUCUUAUUUGUUUGUGUAGGUACGAGGGACUUGCGUGGGGCCUCCUACUGGAUUGAUACCUUGGUUCUCAAAAACUUAGGGAAAUACUUACGCUACUUUGCUGCAUCACCCUUUCCUUUUCAAGGGAAAACUAACGCAGUGCUCAAGAGGUAGCAGCUGCCGCCUGGGCAGCUCGAAUGUUCUCCGCGGGCGUGGCGUAAACAGGGCGAUCUACCCCAAAUAUGAUAGCGACGACAGCGCCGCGCUGUCGGACCAUGCCGAUGCGGCUGGGCUCGUCAGCAGCCGGCGUGCCGCCAACAGUGCGGUCAAACUUGCGCUGGUAGGCCUCUGAGAGGCGUCUCAUGGUGGCCAACUUUUUGGCGCUUUCAACGAGCAAGACGCGGCGGGCUUCCAGCGUCUCGGCGUCAGCAUCUUCUGCGAUGGGUGCAGACAAGUCUCGUAACGCCGCCUCGAGCGGGUCUUGGGCGCCGCCACCAGAAGCUCCAUCGUGGCUGAUGACGAGCACCUCCGUGACGGUCCUGCCGCCGCUGUCGGCGCGAGGGAGAGGGUCAUCGGUGACCACCUCAUUGGUGGGGAAGGCGUCGAGGGACACGGUGUCGGAGUCGACAAGCAUCGGGUAGGUGGAGCCGAUUGACUCCAGGUCGGAGGCGGGCUCGUUAGCGAUGUCGUUCUUGCCAAGGAGAUCGACGAGGUAGCUCUCGGAGUUGGUUGCGCCCGCGCCUAGCGCGGGCUCGUCGGGGAGGCGAAUCUCGCCAACAAGGUCAGCGAGGCCAGCCGCUGCGCAGGCAAGCUCUGCACCACGCAGCACGUCGGUGCUAACGCCAUCGGGCGUGCCGGGCUGGCUGCGCUCGCUAGGGAGGAACAAGGUUCCCGUCCAAUAGAGCUCCGGACAAUGGUGCACCUAGCCACACAGUGGGCGCCAAAUGUCGGGGGUUUGGUGCGACAUAUGCCAAAGGUUGGCUUAUCAUGGUGGGAGCUAGUAAGACAUCGCCGGUGCUUGGAAACAGGAUAAGGCGUAGACACGAACACCGGCGCACUUUACCCAGGCUCUAGGCUCUCCUAGGGGAUAACACCCCUGGUCCUGCUUACGGGGUCUCCGCAUGAUCACUAAAUCAACAAGUAGCUACAAGUGCUCCUUGAGCUGUUUGCUAGAGGAGGAAGAAGGGCAAGGCUAGCUCUCUCUUCUCUCUACACGGUGGGUGUGGUCUCUCAGGGGCUGAACCCUUUGCAUGGGUGCCCUGGGGGUUUAUAUAGGCCUACCCCCCAGGGGUACAAAGGUAAUUGGGCCGGGUGUGGGGACCCGGUUGUCAGUGUCUAUGGUCACCGGCUUCUCCAUUGGCAGCCGGGUCCUGCCGCCUGGUGGGACCCGCCGGCUAUCAAGUACUUGGCCGACAGGCCGCGCCCGCCGCUGGCGGGUCCUGCCAGCUCCUUAGUACUGUAGCCGAGCGGUUGAUGAUACUUGCUUUGUCGGGGAAGGCGUGGCUACAGUCCCACCGCCUGGUGGGCGUUCACUGUAGCCACUCCCCGUCUCUUUUGAUUAAUGGCUCACAAACUUCGAGGGAGGGGGAGGGCCGCCUGGUCAGGAGCCGACCACCUCCCGAGCCGACUGGUCGGAGCUCGCCGCCCUCUAGGUUCUCACGGACAGGUGGGGGCCGUCGUCAGGGGGCGUAUUGACAGCCCAUUGUGGGAACAUGGCCUUCUCUGCCAUGGGUGACGUCAUGGGCCGCGUGGUAACAGUGUCGCGCCGGGCGGGGGAUGUCCGUCCAGUAUGCCGCACUGUAGCCACGUUCCGCCCUGGAUUCGGGGGUGGUAGGCCGCACUGUAGCCACGCCCCGUCUCAUCAUUAUAAUGUGGGUGCUAACUUUGAGGACAGGGGGGCCGCCUGCUAGGAGCCGGCUUCUCUGGAAGCCGCCUGCUAGGAUGUCACGACCGGAUUUUGGGGUAAUAAUUUCCUAGAAAACGGUCUUUGUGCUCACCAGCCCCAGGAUUACUGUUAGCUGAUGGGGCACCAACUUGAUACAAGAAAAUCCAAGCAAGUACAAAAUAUGUAGUACAAGACCAUUGUGGUCUAUGAGUACAACACUUGUUUUCUAAUGGUCUGAUGGCGGAAGCGGUUUGUGGUUCAUCUGCGUCUAUGGGACUCCAUUUCCCAAAAGAACAGCUGACCAGGAUAACUCCUAUCUUCGCGAGGCUGCUGACAACACUGCGUAGGUUCCGGGGCCGUCGUCGUAACACUCUUCUCCGCGCAAGAAAUCUGGCCAAGACAAUAGCCAGGGACAAGCCAGUGAGUACGUUUGAAUGUACUCGCAAACAUCAGGAACGCGGGUAUAAUAUAUCAAACAUGCUCCGGAUUAUUUUAUGAUCACAACGUUUGUCACGAAAUAUACGAAAAACCAUGAUGCACACAUGUGGGUAAAAAUAACCAAAAAAAUAAAAUACUGGGUGCCAAACGAGGGUCUGAAUGACUCCUCGAGAGGAAACUGCAAGAAUAAUAAUGCCGCAGUCGGGCGUCGGGGCGACACCACAUAAAGGGCUUAUAAAUAAAAGAAAUGACAAGCGUGCCACAGUCGGGCGUCUGAGCGACACCACAUAAAGGGCUUAUAAAUCAAAGAAAUAACAAGCGUGCCACAGUCGGGCGUCUAAGCGACACCACAUAAAGGGCUUAUAUAUCAAAGAAACAACAAGCAUGCCACAGUCGGGCGUCUAAGCGACACCACUUAAAGGGCUUAUAUAUAAUAAUCACAGUGAAUAUCCAGGAGGUAGAACCAUCCCAGGGAUACUCAAUAAAAUACAUAACGUAAAUGGUUAGUCCACAAUAAUAGUAAUCAUAAUUGUCACAAGUCACAAGUCAUGAUCCAAGUUCUGGUUUAACAGUUUUGCCUCCGAAGACCGACACUAGGACCGACACUUGACCUAUCCCAGACUGUAGUCCUUAACCCUGGACACGGCUAUUCGAAUAGAUGUAUAAUCUCUGCAGAGGGUGUACUCUUUACCCACGGGUAACGGAUUUCUUUAAUCCAUCGGGACUAAUUCCGUCUACGGUCUUUUAAUUGAAAACACGCCUGACCUGCACACACCAGCCUAACUUACCGGUGUCUGGAAUCACCCACAACACCUGUCAAGCGAAACUCUAAGUGGGGAGGCUACAACCUCGACAUAGCAUGGGAUCACAAAAUUUAUACCGCGCGCAAACUAGGGGAGCUACCCCUCUGGCUACAACCGAAACACCCAUGCCCCCGGACCGGAUGACUGGCUUUAAUCCAUGGCCAUGGGACCCUCAUCACGGCCUCUCUAUACGGUGUGUGCUAGAAAGGGGUUGACAACUUACUGAACCGUACCCUACCUAAGGCAGGGACAAGUGGUAGUACCAGGCAAGUAUGGGGGUUACUGGACAAGAUUCAAUCUAAGGCCGACUCAGGAGGUUCAAGUGUUCCUUGCAUGAUUAUCAUAACAAAAAUAUUUCCAUUAACAGGUAAACUUACCACUCGUCAAGCCUCACCAUGCCAUACCGGACAUACUCGUCCCAACGAGGUACUAGGGACAAGCCCGUGUCUACCCAAGACCACGACUUUCCCGGCUUCCUUCCGGCAUGCAAGGGAAGCUUACGAGGAUGAAUACCAUCAUCAACAUAUCCAUUUAUCACAGCAAAGAAAACUCCACUAUGCACUCAUGCAUAUGAUUUUUAUCGUCACAAAAAAUGGCGUAUGCUCCAAGUCAAGUUGAUGUUGUAAAUGUAUCAACAACAUCCAACAAUAUUAACCAGGGUCCAGAAUGCUUGCCUUCAAGUGUAUGCAAGAGGGGGUGCACUUUUGAAGGUUGCCUUUUUCUCCAAAAAUCCUAUUUUGAGAAAUAUACAAACAACACACAUUUCAAAAACAGCACAAAAAGUUGUCUCAAAUAUUUUUGAAAUAAAUCUUAAAAUAAACUAGAUGAAAUUUGAGAUAUGUAGGAAAAAGAAUCAACUCAUUUGGGUUUUUAUUUUAAAAGUUAUAGCCAGUCAAACAUCAGUCAAAGUUCUGUUUUAUAAAAAUCAGAAAAAGGAAAAUGCUUCGGGGAAGAGUACGUUUUCGAAGCAGGGGACACGUACUCCGGAUCUCUGCGCUUUCACUUAAACAGAGAGAACGGCCGCGCGGGUCACUGACAGUGGGUCCAGGGGGGCCCACUGGUCAGGUUUGACCGUUCUUCCUCUCCCUCCUUUCUCUCUGCCCGAACAGGGCGGGGCUCCAGCGAUCGCCGGCGACGAACGGCGGCUCCCCAAGGGGUCCCGAGGGCGGGGAUGGAUCCGUCAGACCGAGGCGGUUCUCCCGGUGGGUGCUAGGCAGGCGGGGACGGAGGAGGUCACCGGCGGCGAGCUUCACGGCGGGCGGUGGUUCAGGAGCAAAGUGCGUUUUGGGCUCCGGUGGUCUCCGAUCGAUGCGGAGGCGCUGGGCAGCUGCGCAAGAGCAAGAGGAAGCGACUGGUGGCGUUGGAUUGGCGGGGGAGGGCCUGGCUGUGACGCAUGGCACUGGAGCUCGGCGCCGGCCGAACUGGCCGGAGACGAGGAAGAAAGCCCCUCCUCGUCGAUUGCUGGCUACGGGGGUACUGUGGAGGUGGCUGGGGGUUGCCUGAGUGCUCGGUUGAGCUCGGGGUCCCCUUUUAUAGCGCGACGGGGCUGGCUCCGCGGCGGAGGAUAAGAUCGGCGACGGGUCGCCGUUGCUGUAGCUGCAGGGCGUCAUGGCGGCGACGAACGCGUGGGUGUUCGACAGAAUGCCAUAGGCAUCUAGGUAACUCUUGGGGUGGCCAAAAUCUCCAGUUCCUAGUCUCUUUAGGAGCUAAAGAAAGUGGUAGGGUUAGUUUGGCAAAAACACAAAGUUGAUAGUGCAAGUUUUUGAGAAAACCAGAUUUGGGCAGAAACUAAAGGCUGUCAUUGCAUGCACCAAAAAUACUCCAAUGGGUCCAAACUCCUGGACUUAAGUGUUUGGUAAGGAGAACUAUAAGUAGGAAAAAGCUCAAGGGCACUAGAGCAAAAUAGAAUGGGGUUGCAGUACAAAUCACCAAAUUGGACCAGAAUGAAGAUGAGGUUGAUUCACUCAAAUUUUUCAAAGAACCUCACUGGGUUUUUGCGUGAAGUUGAAAUAUGUGUAUCCACUGACAUCUCCAAAUGCUUGGAAGAAUUUUUAAAGAAACAUUUAAAUGGGUUGUAGUGCAAAAGUGCCUACUGGACAAGAUUGGAAAAGUUGGUGUAGAGCUCAAAAUCUCCAAUGGCCAAAAGGUAUUUUUGCAUAAAAGUGAUUUGGAAACAUCACAUGACAUCCCCAAAUUUUGGUGGAAAUUUUAAAUGCAUUUGUCAAAUGGUUGUAGUGCAAAACAGGCUCCAAAUUCAAAAGAAAUCAUUUUUAAAAGAAUAAAGCUCUGAGAAAAAACAAAUCUUGCAAUUUAAAUCCACUGAUAAAGAAUUGUUUUAUCAUAGAGAGUAUUCAAGUCCAACAAUACCUUUUGAAAGUUUUCCACUUGAAGUAAAAAUCCACAAUAACAAAAGGGUAAAUCUUGACAAAUGGAAAAGUUUUAUUUCCUGGCCAAAUUUUAAUAAAUAAAACAAGGUCAAAAUUUUUGGGUGUCACAUAGGAGCCGGCCCUCUUUGAGGCCGCCUCCCAUUGUCCGCCAGCCUUCGGCCGCCGGCCGCUUGGACUAGCCAGCCUCAAGAAGGCAGCACUUCGUCCUUGAUGCUUGAGGGGCGCUUCUGGCCCUGAUUUCUUGAAAUACCAGGGGAGACUGAUGAGGCUACACCCAUGGUCAUUUACUCCGACAUUCUCUCUCCUGCCCUAAAAUAAUUUUUGGUCAGCGCCUUUUACAUCAUCUAUUGGAAAUGCUCUCAUGAGUGUUCCUAUGUUAAUGCUAUCCUUUUUUGAGGUCCCAAUAGGUUUGACAAAAAGACUUGAUUUUAAACACUCUAGGUUUUUCUGGUAGAGUGAUGAACAUAAGUCUGAAUAUCACAUGGCGCGGUGGGAUAUUAUUUGUCGGCCUAAAGACCAAGGGGGUCUAGGCAUUGAAGAUCUUGAUAUUAAGAACAAAUGUCUCCUUUGUAAGUGGUUGUGUAUACUUUUCUUCUGAGUAUGAUGGGAUGCGGAUCCAACUAUUGUGUUACAAAUAUCUUCACUUCAAGACUGUGUCCCAACUUACAGCGCAACCGUAUGACUCUCCCUUCUGGAAGGGUUUGAUGCAAACUAAAAUUGUGUUCUUUAGUAGAUGUGCCUUUUAAGGUGGAAUAUGAACGUACCACACAUUUUUGGGAGGAUACCUGGCUAGGGGAUGCGCCUCUGGGAUUACAAUACUCUUAUCUUUAUAAUAUUAUGAAACGAAAAGAGUAGUUCAUUGGCACAAUAUUACAAACUAUUCCCUUGAAUAUCCAGUUCAGAUAAGUUUUGACAAGAGAUAAAUGGCAGGGCUUGCUUCAACUUGUACGUGGGUUGAUGAUGGUCAACUUAAGAGAAGAGCCAUAUGCUUUUCAUUAGUGGUUGAUAUCUUUUGGGAUUUCCUCAGUUAAAUCUAUGUAUACAAACUUUAUCAACAUGGGACAUGUAUUUCAUUGAAAAAUCAAAAAAUAUAGGGAAAAAAUUCCACUUAAAAUCAAGAUUUUCAUGUAGGUUCUUCUUCCUCAUGGGAGAUGCGCUGGGGGGAGACAAGGUAGUGUUGUGCUUGCGGUAGGUAGGUGAAUAGAGUAGUGGAUCAAGGCUCCUAUACUUUUAUGUGCUCUCUCAUCUUAUUCUAUAGGCGCAAGUUGUAGCGUGCCUUUGUAGAAUGCUUAGUGCUUGUGCCGCUAAACCACCUCGACUACUUUCAAACAUCUUGCAUAAUAUAUCUUAGGUCUAUGUAACUCUUGCGAGUAGAGGUGAGUACUCACCUUGCUUAAUUACCCUUUUUCGCUGGAUUGCCGCCAAUCUAGCCAACAACAGUUCAGGAAGCAGGUUUGUUGAUGGACGGCGUUGGUGGUUGUCCGACAAACAACGAUCCAGGCAGAGAUAUGGACAUUAUUUGCUUUUGUUUAAGCCUUCUUAAGGCAAUCCAUCUUCAUACCCAUCUAAUGUAUAAUCUGCUUCUAUUGUAUGCAUUGUAAUUGGUUCAAAGACCAAGGUUUCAUUAUUUUGUUAUUCUUGACUCCUUGUAGUUGUUGCAUAUAUGUGUAUUCAUUGUUCCUAUAGAUUAUUUGGUCAUAUGUGUUGUGAUGCCAACCGUUUUUACCACAUGGUGAGCAUGUUCUGAUGUGUCCAUUAUGUGAAGGUGGCACCUUGGGACAUAUAUUAAGAGGAGACUGGCGGAGGAUGAUAGAUUUGCAUAGUUCCGGUCAUUGGGCGCUACAGACAACAUCUCAGACAGGUUGCAGAAAACACAACAUCCUAGGACUCUAGCGUAACACCUAAAGCAACACUGCCUUUAGCAGCUGCUCGCCCUCCACCAAUAGCAUCAUCACCUUCAUCAUCGUCGGCAUAGGGAGUUGGAAUAAUAAUGGUCCUCGAGAGGCUAUAUAAUUAUGGAAUAUUUGGCCUCAGCUCGGAAACUUUUGUGNNNNNNNNNNNNNNNNNNNNNNNNNNNNNNNNNNNNNNNNNNNNNNNNNNNNNNNNNNNNNNNNNNNNNNNNNNNNNNNNNNNNNNNNNNNNNNNNNNNNNNNNNNNNNNNNNNNNNNNNNNNNNNNNNNNNNNNNNNNNNNNNNNNNNNNNNNNNNNNNNNNNNNNNNNNNNNNNNNNNNNNNNNNNNNNNNNNNNNNNNNNNNNNNNNNNNNNNNNNNNNNNNNNNNNNNNNNNNNNNNNNNNNNNNNNNNNNNNNNNNNNNNNNNNNNNNNNNNNNNNNNNNNNNNNNNNUAAUAACGGUAAAUAAAGUACAGCAAGGUAUCCCAAUCCUUUUAUAUCAGAGGACAGGGCAAAACGGUCUCUUAUGAUAAGCAAAGCGUUCUUGAGGGUACACGGGAAUUUCAUCUAGUCACUUUCAUCAUGUUGGCUUGAUUCAUGUUCGCUACUUUGAUAAUUUCAUAUGUGGGUGGAUCGGUGCUUAGGUGCUGUUCUUACUUGAACAAACCUCCUACUUAUGAUUAACCCCCUCGCAAGCAUCUGCAACUACGAGAAAAGUAUUAAGAUAAAAUCUAACCAUAGCAUUAAACUUUCGGAUCCAAAUCGGUCCCUUACGAAGUAGCGCAUAAACUAGGGUUUAAGCUUUUGUCACUCUAGCAACCCAUCAUCUAAUAUCUACUCCAUAAUGCAUUCCCUUAGGCCCUAAUAAGGUGAAGUGCCAUGUAGUCGACGUUCACAUGACACCACUAAGGGAAUCACAACAUACAUAUCAUCAAAAUAUCAAACACAUAUCAAGUUCACAUGAUUACUUGGAACAUGACUUCUCCUGUGACCUCAAGAACAAAAGUAACUACUCACAAAUGAUAAUCAUGUUCAAGAUCAGAGGGGUAUUAAAUAUCAUAAUGGAUCUGAACAUAUAAUCUUCCACCAAAUAAACCAUAUAGUAAUCAACUACAAGAUGUAAUCAACAUACUAGUCACCCACAAGUACCAAUCUGAGGUUCCGGUACAAAGAUUCAACACAAGAGAUGAACUAGGGUUUGAGAGGAGAUGGUGUUGUUGAAGAUGUUGAUGGAGAUUGCCCUCCCAAAGAUGGGAGAGUUGUUGGUGAUGAUGACGACAAUGAUUUCCCCCUGCGGGAGAGAAGUUCCCCUGGCGGAAUCGCUCCGCCGGAGGGCAAAAGUACUCCUGCCCAAGUUCCGCCUCAAGACGACGGCGCUUCGUCCCGAAAGUCCCUCUCUGAUUUUUUUUUCUAGGUCAAAAUGACCUAUAUACCAGAGGAUGGGCACCGGAGGUGGGCCGAGGAGGGCACAACCCACCAGGGCGCACCUGGCGCGCCCAGGUGGGUUGUGCCCACCUGGUGGGCCUCCUCCGAUAGUUAUUUGCUCCAUUAUUUUUUAUAUAUUGCAAAAAACAACUCCGUAAAUUUUCAGCUCAUUUGGAGAUGUGCGGAAUAGGUAACUCCGACGUAGCUUUUUCAGGUCCAAAAUUCCAGCUGUCGGCAUUCUCCCUCUUUUUGUAAACCUUGCAUAUUAUGAGAGAAAAGGCAUUAGAAUUACUCCAUACAGCAUUAUUAUGCAUAAAAACAUUGUAAAUAACAGUAGGAAAACAUGAUGCAAAUGGACGUAUCAAGAUCCCAUCUAGAGGCCUGUUCUGGUACACCGUCCGGAGGGUGAUUCGAUCAUGGAGGGCUUCUACAUCAACCUUGCUGCCCUUCCGAUGAUGUGUGAGUUGUUUACCACAGACCUACGGGUCCAUAGCUAGUAGCUAGAUGGCUUCUUCUCUCUCUUUGAUCUUCAAUACAAGGUUCUCCUCGAUGUUCUUGGAGAACUAUUCUAUGUAAUCUUCUUUUGCAGUGCGUUUGUUGAGAUCCCAUGAAUUGUGGGUUUAUGAUCAGAUUAUCUAUGAAUAUUAUUUGAGUCUUCUCUGAACUCCUUUAUGCAUGAUUAAGAUAGCUUUGUAUUUCUCUCCGAUCUAUUGAUUUGGUUUGGCCAACUAGAUUGAUUUUUCUUGCCAUGGGGGAGGUGCUUUGUAAUGGGUUCAAUCUUGCGGUGCUUAUUCCCAGUGACAAAAGGGGACAUGACACAUAUUUUUAUUGUUGCCAUUAAGGAUAAAAAGGUGGGGUUUAUUCAUAUUGAUUGGAUCUAUCCCUCUACAUCAUGUCAUGUUGCUUAAGGCGUUACUCCGUUCUUGUUAACUUAAUACACUAGAUGCAUGUUGGAUAGCGGAAGAUGUGUGGAGUACUAGUAGUAGAUGCAGGCAGGAGUCGGUCUACUUUUGACAGACGUGAUGCCUAUAUUCAUGAUCAUUGCCUUAGAUAUCGUCAUAAUUAUUUGCAUUUUCUGUCAAUUGCUCAACAGUAAUUUGUCUACCCACUGUAUGCGUCCUUUUAAGAGAGAACCUCUAGUGAAAACUAUGGCCUCCGGGUCUAUCUUUUAUCAUAUUCUUUUCAGAUCUAUAGAACCAAAAACCCAAAAAUACCUUGCUGCAAUUUAUUUACCUUUACUUUAUUUUGCACUUUUACAUAUCUUUUAUACCUAUCUCUAUCAGAUCUCAUCCAUGGAAGUAACCGUGAAGGGAUUGACAACCCCUUUACCGCGUUGGGUGCAAGUAUUUGUUUGUUUGUGUAGGUGCAAUCAUUGAUGACUUGUGUGUUCCUCCUACUGGAUUGAUACCUUGGUUCUCAAACUGAGGGAAAUACUUAUCUGUACUUUUCUGCCUCACCCUUUCCUCUUCAAGGGAAAAACCAACGCAAGCUCAAUAAGUAGCACCGACGUCUUCCCGUUGUUGGCCGUUGUGCCUCUGCAUACCAACAGAGAGGUGAUGAGACGGGGGCCAGAGAGAGGAGAAGAAGAAAAGGAGGAUGGGUGUUGGAUUAUUCAUACCAUGCCAUGGUCGUCGAGGUAGCCACGGCCGUCGAGGGUGCCAUGGCUGCCAUCAUCGCUGUUAAGGCAUGUGCCUAUCACCGGCCCCCGUGGCUGGUAGCUAGGGUUUCCAAUGCGGGGAUGGGGAUGGGAGGGCGGAUCUGACUCUAGGCUGAGCUAUAGGGGUGGAUCUGCCAUGUGGAAGAGAGGGGAGGGUCGUCGGCGGUGGAAGGGAGACCGAGGGUGGGGGAGGACGAGAGGGGAGGGUCGCAGCCGGUGAGGUCACGACGAGAUAUGGGAGGGGGAGAUGGGGGCGGCUGUUGGGGGAGAAUGGCAGGGUUAGAAGGGAGAGGGACGGGAGGGUUUAGGGUUAGAUAUUACUUGGUACAGUUUAGAUGGGCUUCGGUGGGCUGUUAGGCCAGUGGCGGGCACCUGUUAAAUUUGCGGCGGGCACGAGACAGAGCCCAUCACUGCCACUUGACUUACUAGUGGCGGGUCCAAAGAGAAUCCCGUCACAACUAUUUUUGGACAGAUUUGUCACGAGACUAAAAACAACAGUGACGGGUACAUAUAGAUGCCCGCCAUAGGUAACAUUUGCCCCUCACAAAUCUGGACAACUACUACUAGUGAUGGGCACAAACUGACAACCGCCACUGGUAAGCCAAUAAUAUUGGCGGGCGGAUUUUGGAGCUCGCCGCUGUUAAUAGCAGUGGCGGGUGCUAGAGUGCUCCCGCCACUGAUUUGAGAUCACCUAUGAGCCCUUUCCCAGUAGUGCUCAAGCGUUAUUCAGGAGAAGGAACAUCCAAAGAAAGAGAGAAGAUUAUGCGAGGGGACAAGAGAGGAGCAGAAACCAACAGAAAAAGAAAGGAGCGGAACACGAGAAGAGACGAGAGGGAAAUUAAGCGCUGGUUGUGGAAGGAGUGGGGGAAGUGGGAGGAGUGCAGUUGGUUUCUCCUGCGCCCUCUGCCUACCACGGACCAUUUGCUUUCCAGUGGGGUUCCCCCACCCCUACCCACAACUUCGUCGCUUCCCAAUGGGGUCCCAACACCCCCGACCCCUCCGCUUCCCGUUGUAGCCCCUUACCGCCUCGUUAGAAAAUAGGAAAAGGAUAGGGGGGUGUUCGAGAUGCCAUAACCUUGGUCCUUCGAGGGCAAAGCUGUGUACUUAUGUGCUACAAGCCCACAAACGGUUCUAAGUACAAAACCUCCUCGAGAACUUCCUAACAACAGGUGGUUUCAAUUUUUCAACCGCCUUCAAUAAUUAUUAUAGACGGUUCCAAAUUUCCAACCACCUUGACACCUAAAAUAACUGUCGAUGCUGGAUUAUUACAAGUGUAUUUGUCACGUAGGGAAUUAAUUGCUUCGAGGGCCCGCUGCUAAUGCCCAUUUUUCUACUACUGAAAUCAAGUGUAAGAAAGGACAUGAAGUACACGAUGCCCCAUGACCAAUCUGCCAGCUAAAUCUGAUGCACCGAAAAUGAGAUUCUUCAUCAGUUUAGCUCAGAGUUAUCCUAGAUGACUUGGUGUCAAACCUGAACUUAACAAGGAGGCAGAAUUCUCAAAUUGAAUCUGGAUUAAAAAUGCUUCCUCGUAACUGUCAUGAUUCUUUGUGGAAUGAAACAUAUUACUGGCCAUCAAUUUGGUCAGUUGUGCACAGCAAAUGAGAUUGCUGAUUUGAUGGUAUUAUUAAGGCCAGUUCUUUUAGGCGAUUCUCCAAGAAUUGGCCCCAUCCCCAGCUUCUUUCAGAAUCGCCACUCCAUAUUAUUUUUAAAAUCUAGCUAGUUAAGGUCUAAUUAGCUAGGACUAGUCGCCAACCCAUGCACAUGCACCGAAUGAAAAUAUCUUGGUGAUUAGUAUAUUUUAGAAAAAUAGUAGGUCAUAUAGAUCACUGCAUUUAAGAUGAAUGGACAAUCUAAGCAAGUCAGUUAGAACAACUUAUUAAUAUUGUACCUACACAUAUGAAUGGACAAUAUAAGAAACUGAGCAUCUGAAAACUUGUAGUGCAAUUUGGCCACAAACUUACCAAUAAGCUCCAGAUGGAUCCAAGCUAAAACAAUAGAUCAAACAAUGCACUAAUGAUCAGGUUUCAAGUCACAUAUGCUUUUACAAUGGCAUUUUGAAGAUUUAAAAUGCUAAUAUUGAUAGUCUCUUAAUAUGAUCUAGUACUAAGCUUGACACGUGGUAACAUAGUGUUGGAAAUAUGCCCUAGAGGCAAUAAUAAAUUGGUUAUUAUUAUAUUUCCUUGUUCAUGAUAAUCGUUUAUUAUCCAUGCUAGAAUUGUAUUGAUAGGAAACUCAGAUACAUGUGUGGAUACAUACACAACACCAUGUCCCUAGUAAGCCUCUAGUUGACUAGCUCGUUGAUCAAUAGAUGGUUACGGUUUCCUGACCAUGGACAUUGGAUGUCGUUGAUAACGGGAUCACGUCAUUAGGAGAAUGAUGUGAUGGACAAGACCCAAUCCUAAGCACAGCACAAAAGAUCGUGUAGUUCGUUUGCUAGAGCUUUUCCAAUGUCAAGUAUCAUUUCCUUAGACCAUGAGAUCGUGCAACUCCCGGAUACCGUAGGAGUGCUUUGGGUGUGCCAAACGUCACAACGUAACUGGGUGACUAUAAAGGUACACUACGGGUAUCUCCGAAAGUGUCUGUUGAGUUGGCACGGAUCGAGACUGGGAUUUGUCACUCCGUAUGACGGAGAGGUAUCUCUGGGCCCACUCGGUAAUGCAUCAUCAUAAUGAGCUCAAUGAGACUAAGGAGUUAGCCACGGGAUCAUGCAUUACGGUACGAGUAAAGUGACUUGCCGGUAACGAGAUUGAACAAGGUAUUGGGAUACCGACGAUCGAAUCUCGGGCAAGUAACGUACCGAUUGACAAAGGGAAUUGUAUACGGGAUUGAUUGAAUCCUCGACAUCAUGGUUCAUCCGAUGAGAUCAUCGUGGAACAUGUGGGAGCCAACAUGGGUAUCCAGAUCCCGCUGUUGGUUAUUGACCGGAGAGGCGUCUCGGUCAUGUCUGCAUGUCUCCCGAACCCGUAGGGUCUACACACUUAAGGUUCGGUGACGCUAGGGUUGUAGAGAUAUUAGUAUGCGGAAACCCGAAAGUUGUUCGGAGUCCCGGAUGAGAUCCCAGACGUCACGAGGAGUUCCGGAAUGGUCCGGAGGUGAAGAAUUAUAUAUAGGAAGUCCAGUUUCGGCCACCGGGAAAGUUUCGGGGUUAUCGGUAUUGUACCGGGACCACCGGAAGGGUCCCGGGGGUCCACCGUGUGGGGCCACCUAUCCCGGAGGGCCCCAUGGGCUGAAGUGGGAAGGGAACCAGCCCUUAGUGGGCUGGGGCGCCCCCCCCUUGGGCCUCCCCCUGCGCCUAGGGUUGGAAACCCUAGGGGUGGGGGGCGCCCCACUUGCCUUGGGGGGCAAGUUUCCCCCUGGCCGCCGCCCCCCUCCCCCCCUUGUAGAUGGGAUCCAGGGCCGGCGCCCCCCCCCCAGGGGGCCUAUAUAUAGUGGGGGGAGGGAGGGCAGCAGCACAACAGCCCCUGGCGCCUCCCUCUCCCCUGCAACACCUCUCCCUCCCGCUUGCGCUUGGCGAAGCCCUGCCGGGAUCCCGCUACUUCCACCACCACGCCGUCGUGCUGCUGGAUCUCCAUCAACCUCUCCUUCCCCCUUGCUGGAUCAAGAAGGAGGAGACGUCGCUGCUCCGUACGUGUGUUGAACGCGGAGGUGCCGUCCGUUCGGCACUCGGUCAUCGGUGAUUUGGAUCACGGCGAGUAUGACUCCAUCAACCCCGUUCACUUGAACGCUUCCGCUCGCGAUCUACAAGGGUAUGUAGAUGCACUCCUUUCCCCUCGUUGCUAGUAUACUCCAUAGAUUGAUCUUGGUGAUGCAUAGAAAAUUUUGAAUUUCUGCUACGUUCCCCAACAGUGGCAUCAUGAGCUAGGUCUAUGCGUAGUUUCUAUGCACGAGUAGAACACAAAGUAGUUGUGGGCGUCGAUUUUGUCAAUUUACUUGCCGUUACUAGUCUUAUCUUGAUUCGGCGGCAUCGUGGGAUGAAGCGGCCCGGACCGACCUUACACGUACACUUACGUGAGGCAGGUUCCACCGACUGACAUGCACUAGUUGCAUAAGGUGGCUAGCGGGUGUCUGUCUCUCCCACUUUAGUCGGAUCGGAUUCGAUGAAAAGGGUCCUUAUGAAGGGUAAAUAGAAAUUGGCAUAUCACGUUGUGGCUUUUGCGUAGGUAAGAAACGUUCUUGCUAGAAUUCCAUAGCAGCCACGUAAAACAUGCAACAACAAUUAGAGGACGUCUAACUUGUUUUUGCAGGGUAUGCUAUGUGAUGUGAUAUGGCCAAAAGGAUGUGAUGAAUGAUAUAUGUGAUGUAUGAGAUUGAUCAUGUUCUUGUAAUAGGAAUCACGACUUGCAUGUCGAUGAGUAUGACAACCGGCAGGAGCCAUAGGAGUUGUCUUAAUUUAUUGUAUGACCUGCGUGUCAAUGAAAACGCCAUGUAAUUACUUUACUUUAUUGCUAACCGUUAGCCAUAGUAGUAGAAGUAAUAGUUGGCGAGACAACUUCAUGAAGACACGAUGAUGGAGAUCAUGAUGAUGGAGAUCAUGGUGUCAUGCCGGUGAUGAAGGUGAUCAUGCCGCGCCUCGAAGAUGGAGAUCUAAGGCGCAAGAUGAUAUUGGCCAUAUCACGUCACUUUAUGAUUUGCAUGUGAUGUUUGUCAUGUUUGCAUCUUAUUUGCUUAGAACGACGGUAGCAUAAAUAAGAUGAUCCCUCAUUAAAAUUUCAAGAGACGUGUUCCCCCUAACUGUGCACCGUUGCGAAGGUUCGUUGUUUCGAAGCACCACGUGAUGAUCGGGUGUGAUAGAUUCCAACGUUCGAAUACAACGAGUGUUGACGAGCCUAGCAUGUACAGACAUGGCCUCAGAACACAUGCGAAACACUUAGGUUGACUUGACGAGCCUAGCAUGUACAGACAUGGCCUCGGAACACAAGAUACCGAAAGGUCGAACAUGAGUCGUAUAGCAGAUACGAUCAACAUGGAGAUGUUCACCGAUGAUGACUAGUCCGUCUCACGUGAUGAUCGGACACGGCCUAGUUUGACUCGGAUCAUGUAUCACUUAGAUGACUAGAGGGAUGUCUAUCUGAGUGUGAGUUCAUUAAUCAGAUGAACUCAAUUAUCAUGAACAUAGUCAAAAGGUCUUUGCAAAUUAUGUCAUAGCUUACGCUUUAGCUCUACUGUUUAAGAUAUGAUCCUAGAGAAAAUUUAGUUGAAAGUUGGUAGUAGCAAUUAUGCGGACUGGGUCCGUAAACUGAGGAUUGUCCUCAUUGCUGCACAGAAGGCUUAUGUCCUUAAUGCACCGCUCGGUGUGUUGAACCUCAGCGUCGUCUGUAGAUGUUGCGAGACAUCUGACAUACACGUUUUGAUGACUACGUGAUAGUUCAGUGCGUAAUGCUAACGGUUUAGAAUUGUGGCACCAAAGACGUUUUUGAAACGUCGCAGAACAUAUGAGAUGUUCCGAAGACUGAAAUUGGGAUUUCAGACUAGUGCCCACGUCAAGAGGUAUGAGACCUCCGACAAGUUUCUUAAGCCUGCAGACUAAGGGAGAAAAGCUCAAUCGUUGAGCAUGUGCUCAGAUUGUCUGAGUGCCACAAUCGCUUGAAUCGAGUGGGAGUUAAUCUUCCAAAUGAGAUAGUGAUGGUUCUCCAUAGUCACUACCACCAAGCUAUUAGAGCUUCGUGAUGAACUACAACAUAUCAGGGAUAGAUAUGAUGAUCCUUGAGCUAUUCGUGAUGUUUGACACCGCGAAAGUAGAAACCAAAUAGGAGCAUCAAUUGUUGAUGGUUAGUAAAACCACUAGUUUCUAGAAGGGCAAGGGAAGAAGGGAUACUUCAUGAAACAGCAAAUCAUUUGCUGCUCUAGCGAAGAAUCCCAAGGUUAAACCCAAACCCGAGACUAAGUGCUCCUGUAAUGAGGGGAACGGUCACUGAAGCAGAACUACCCUAGAUACUUGGUAGAUGAGAAGGCAGGCAAGGUCGACAGAACUAUAUUGGAUAUACAUUAUAUGAAUGUGUACUUUACUAGUACUCCUAGCAGCACCAGGGUAUUAGAUACCGGUUCGGUUGCUAAGUGUUAGUAACUCGAAAUAAAAGCUGCGGAAUAAAUGGAGACUAGCUAAAGGUGAGAUGACGAUGUGUGUUGGAAGUGUUUCCAAGGUUGAUGUGAUCAAGCAUCGCAUGCUCCCUCUACCAUCGAGAUUUGGUGUUUGCGUUGAGUAUGAUUGGAUUAUGUUUAUCGCAAUACGGUUAUUCAUUUAAGGAGAAUAAUGGUUACUAUGUUUAUUUGAAUAAUACCUUCAAUGGUCUUGCACCUAAAAUGAAUCUCGAUCGCAGUGAUACACAUGUUCGUGCCAAAAGAUAUAAAAUAGUAAUGAUAGUUCCACAUACUUGUGGCACUGCCAUUUGAAUCAUAUUGGUAUAGAACGCAUGAAGAAGCUCCAUGUAGAUGGAUAUUUGGACUCACUCGUUUUUGAAAAGAUUGAGACAUGCGAACCAUGUCUAUUGGUAUAUAUGCAUGAAGAAACUCCAUGCAGAUGGAUCGUUUGGACUCACUUGAGACAUGCAAGUCAUACCACAUGGGCAAGAUGACUGAAAGGCCUCGUUUUCAGUAAGAUGGAACAAGAGAGCAACUUGUUGGAAGUAAUACAUUUUGAUGUGUGCAGUCCAAUGAGUGCUGAGGCAUGCAGUGGAUAUCGUUAUGUUCUUACUUCACAGAUGAUUUGAGUAGAUGCUGAGUGUAUUUACUUGAUGAAACACAAGUCUGAAUUAUUGAAAAGGUCAAGUAAUUUCAGAGUGAAGUUCAAGAUCGUCGUGACAAGAGGAUAAAAUGUCUGUGAUAUGAUCAUAGAGAUGAGUAUCUGAGUUACGAGUUUGGCACACGAUUAAGAAAUUGUGGAAAUUGUUUCACGACUAAUACCGCUUGGAGCACCAUAGUGUGAUGGUGUGUCCGAACAUCAUAGCUGCACCCUAUUGGAUAUGGUGCAUACCAUGAUGUCUCUUAUCAAAUUACAACUAUCGGUUAUGGGUUAGGCAUUAGAGACAACCGCAUUCACUUUAAAUAGGGCACCACGCAAUUCCGUUGAGACGACACCGUUUAGAGAAACCUAAGUUGUCGUUUCUUAAAAGUUUGGGGCAGCAAUGCUUAUGUGAAAAAGUUUCAGGCUGAUAAGCUCGAACCCAAAGCGGAUAAAUGCAUCUUCAUAAGAAUACCCAAAACAGUUGGGUAUACCUCCUAUUUCAGAUCUGGAAGAAAAAGUAAUUGCUUCUAGAAACGGUUCCUUUCUCGAGGAAAAGUUUCUCUCGAAAAAAUUGAGUGGGAGGAUGGUGGAGACUUCAUGAGGUUAUUGAACCAUCAAUUCAACUAGUGUGUAGCAGGGCAUAGGAAGUUGUUCCUGUGGCACCUACACCAAUUGAAGUGGAAGCUUAUGAUAGUGAUCAUGAAACUUCGGAUCAAGUCACUACCAAACCUCGUAGGUCGACAAGGAUAUGUACUACUCCUGAGUGGUACGGUGAUCCUGUCUUAGAUAUCAUGUUGUUAGACAAUACUGAACCUACGAGCUAUGGAGAAGCGAUGGUGGGCCCAUAUUCCGACAAAUGGUUAGAAGCCAUGAAAUCCGAGAUAGGAUCCAUGUAUCAGAACAAAGCAUGGACUUUGGUGAACUUGCCCCAUGAUCGGCAAGCCAUUGAGAUAAAUGGAUCUUUAAGAAGAAGACGGACAUGGACGGUAAUGUUACCAUCUAUGAAGCUCGACUUGUGGCAAAGAGUAUUUUCACAAGUUCAAGGAGUUGACUACGAUGAGAUUUUCUCAUCCGUAGCGAUGCUUAAGUCCGUCGGAAUCAUGUUAGCAUUAGCAGCAUUUAUGAAAUCUGGCAGAUGGAUGUCAAAACAAGUUUCCUUCCCAGUUUUCGUAAGGAAAGGUUGUAUGUGAUACAAUCAGAAAGGUUUUGGCGAUCCUAAGGAUGCUGAAAGGUAUGCUAGCUCCAGUGAUCCUUCCAUGGAUUAGAGCAAGCAUCUCGGAGUCAGAAUAUACGCUUUGAUGGAGUGAUCAAAGUUUUUGGGUUUAUACAAAGUUUGUUAGAAACUUGUAUUUACAAUAAAGUGAGUGGGAGCGCUACAACAUUUCUGAUAAGUAUAUGUGAAUGACAUAUUGUUGAUCCGAAAUGAUGUAGAAUUUCUGGAAAGCAUAAAGGGUUGUUUGAAAGGAGUUUUUCAAAGGAAGACCUGGAUAAAGCUGCUUACAUAUUGGGCAUCAAGAUCUAUAGAGAUAGAUCAAGACGCCUGAUGAUACUUUCAAAGAACGCACACCUUGACAUGAUUUUGAAAGAGUUCAAAAUAGAUCAGCAAAGAAGGAGUUCUUGGCUGUGUUACGAGGUGUGAGUAUUGAGUAAGACUCAAGACCUGACCACAGCAGAAGAGAGAGAAAGGACGAAGGUCAUCCCCUAUGCUUUAGAUGUAGGCUCUACAGUAUGCUAUGUUGUGUACCGCACCUGAAGUGUGCCUUGCCAUGAGUUGGUCAAGGGGUACAAUAGUGAUCCGGGAAUGGAUCACAUGAGAGCGGUCGAACUUAUCCUUAGUAUCUAGUGGACUAAGGAAUUUUCUCGAUUAUGGAGGUGAAAAGGAGUUCGUCGUAAAGGGUUACGUCGAUGCGAACUUUGACACUAAUCCGGAUGACUCUGAGUAGUAAACUGGAUUCGUAUAGUAGAGCAGUUAUUUGAAAUGGCUCCAAGUAGCGCGUGGUAGCAUCCACAAGAUGACAUAGAUAUUCGUAAAGCACACACGGAUCUGAAAGGUUCAGACCUGCUGAUUAAUAACCUCUCUCACAAGCAUAACAUGAUCAAGCCAGAACUCAUUCAGUGUUAAUCACAUAAGUGAUGUGAACUAGAUUGUUGACUCUAGUUAACUCUUUAGAUGUUGGUCACAUGGUGAUGUGACCUGUGAGUGUUAAUCACAUGGUGAUGUGAACUAGAUUAUUGACUCUAGUGCAAGUGGGAGACUGUUGGAAAUAUGCCCUAGAGGCAAUAAUAAAUUGGUUAUUAUUAUAUUUCCUUGUUCAUGAUAAUCGUUUAUUAUCCAUGCUAGAAUUGUAUUGAUAGGAAACUCAGAUACAUGUGUGGAUACAUAGACAACACCAUGUCCCUAGUAAGCCUCUAGUUGACUAGCUCGUUGAUCAAUAGAUGGUUACGGUUUCCUGACCAUGGACAUUGGAUGUCGUUGAUAACGGCAUCACAUCAUUAGGAGAAUGAUGUGAUGGACAAGACCCAAUCCUAAGCAUAGCACAAAAGAUCGUGUAGUUCGUUUGCUAGAGCUUUUCCAAUGUCAAGUAUCAUUUCCUUAGACCAUGAGAUCGUGCAACUCCCGAAUACCGUAGGAGUGCUUUGGGUGUGCCAAACGUCACAACGUAACUGGGUGACUAUAAAGGUACACUACGGGUAUCUCCGAAAGUGUCUGUUGAGUUGGCACGGAUCGAGACUGGGAUUUGUCACUCCGUAUGACGGAGAGGUAUCUCUGGGCCCACUCGGUAAUGCAUCAUCAUAAUGAGCUCAAUGUGACUAAGGAGUUAGCCACGGGAUCAGGCAUUACGAUCCGAGUAAAGUGACUUGCCGGUAACGAGAUUGAACAAGGUAUUGGGAUACCGACGAUCGAAUCUCGGGCAAGUAACGUACCGAUUGACAAAGGGAAUUGUAUACGGGAUUGAUUGAAUCCUCGACAUCGUGGUUCAUCCGAUGAGAUCAUCGUGGAACAUGUGGGAGCCAACAUGGGUAUCCAGAUCCCGCUGUUGGUUAUUGACUGGAGAGGCGUCUCGGUCAUGUCUGCAUGUCUCCCGAACCCGUAGGGUCUACACACUUAAGGUUUGGUGACGCUAGGGUUGUAGAGAUAUUAGUAUGCGGAAACCAGAAAGUUGUUCGGAGUCCCGGAUGAGAUCCCAGACGUCACGAGGAGUUCCGGAAUGGUCCGGAGGUGAAGAAUUAUAUAUAGGAAGUCCAGUUUCGGCCACCGGGAAAGUUUCGGGGUUAUCGGUAUUGUACCGGGACCACCGGAAGGGUCCCGGGGGUCCACCGGGUGGGGCCACCUAUCCCGGAGGGCCCCAUGGGCUGAAGUGGGAAGGGAACCAGCCCUUAGUGGGCUGGGGCGCCCCCCCCCUUGGGCCUCCCCCUGCGCCUAGGGUUGGAAACCCUAGGGGUGGGGGGCGCCCCACUUGCCUUGGGGGACAAGUUUCCCCCUGGCCGCCCCCCCCUUGUAGAUGGGAUCCAGGGCCGGCGCCCGCCCCCAGGGGGCCUAUAUAUAGUGGGGGGAGGGAGGGCAGCAGCACAACAGCCCCUGGCGCCUCCCUCUCCCCUGCAACACCUCUCCCUCCCGCUUGCGCUUGGCGAAGCCCUGCCGGGAUCCCGCUACUUCCACCACCACGCCGUCGUGCUGCUGGAUCUCCAUCAACCUCUCCUUCCCCCUUGCUGGAUCAAGAAGGAGGAGACGUCACUGCUCCGUACGUGUGUUGAACGCGGAGGUGCCGUCCGUUCGGCACUCGGUCAUCGGUGAUUUGGAUCACGGCGAGUACGACUCCAUCAACCCCGUUCACUUGAAAGCUUCCGCUCGCGAUCUACAAGGGUAUGUAGAUGCACUCCUUUCCCCUCAUUGCUAGUAUACUCCAUAGAUUGAUCUUGGUGACGCGUAGAAAAUUUUGAAUUUCUGCUACGUUCCCCAACACAUAGUACUCUGAAGACGGUAAAAAGUCAUCUUGUACAUUGCACUGGAAAUGAAGGAUAGUGGCACAUUACAAAAUUAGAAUGUUGCAAGUUAUAUAGAAAUAUAGACGCAUGCUUAAAUUUCAACGAAUAGAUGCAUUUUUUAAUGUGAAAAAAAUUCCUAAUAUUUUACUGACAUAGCAGACAUACAAAACAAACAUUCAUCAUCCACUAUUUAAGUGGCCAUGAGCCCCAUAAGCAUGCAUCAUCCACUAUUUAAGUGGCCAUGAGCCCCAUGAGAACAAAUCGACAUUUGGAACUUCAUAAUUUUGUAGUAACAUAGCAGGCAUACAAAACAACAAUACAUCAUUUGCUAUUGAACUGGCAAUGAGACCUAUGGGCAACAAUAUAAAUUUGGAAGUUGUUAAUAAUGCAUGUAGAUUUAUAUCCUUAUAUCUAUUUUCUUUCGUAUCCCCGUCAUUGGAGUAAAAUGAAAUACACUUUAGUAUUUAUAGGUGCAAGGUAUGAUGUGGCCAGCUACCAAACAUUGAUAUGAAAUAUGACCCAGAUAUUAGUAAACCUUUAUCAAGCAAUCAACCACAUAGUGUAUCAUAGAGAGAAAGAGAAAUAUAUGAUAGACAAAGUUGUUAUAUUUAAAAAUUAGUUAUCACACCAUCCCAAAAGCUAUUCUACAUAGCAAUGAGGUCCCUGGGUUACCUUCCCAGAUAAUGCUGAUCUCGAAAUUUAUCCAUAUAUAACUAAAAAAACAUGUAUUCACUAGUGCAGAACCGGGCUUUAGCGCCGGUUCGUAAGGGCCUUUAGUGCCGGUUCUGCAACCGGCACUAAAUAGUGGAGACUAAAGGCCCCCCCUACUACCGUGUCGACACGAACCGGCGCUAAAGUGCCACCAUGUGGCACGAGCCAGGCCCGGGUGCUGGUAGACCAUUAGUACCGAUUGGUAGCACCAACCGAUACUAAAUGUUUGGGGGGGUUUUAGUUUUAAUUUUUAUUUUUCCAUUAAUUUUGUGUUUUCCAUUUAAUUCUUUUUUGUUUGCUGGUAUUUUAUGAUACUACAUAUUGUACACGUUAUGCAUAUAUAUAAAUAGAUUUUCUCGUAGAACGAUCGUAUAUAUAUAUAUAUAUAAUCGAAUGUCUCACAACCACCAUUAAUUAUUCACACAUACACAUGUAUAUAUAUAUAUACAAUUUCUCCUACAUGUUGCCUUGGUGCCUUCGGAGCACGAUGACAAGUGGUUCAUGGGGGCGGUAGCGGGUAAUAGUAUUCUCCUUUGGGAUCUAUGACCUGGUCGAGCAAAAAUCCCGCUAUUUCCUCUUGAAGUGCUCGUAUGCGCUCUGUUGGUAGGAGCUGGUCCCGCACCUCUUUGAACUAUUAAGAAGGAGAUCAAUAUGCAUGUGUAUUAGUUGUGUGACUAGAUAUCGACAAUCAUGUAAGAUUUGUGAAUAGUGUUCUGGCAAACAUACCCAGUCCUGUCUAUCAGAUCUGCUCCUUUUGGAUGCCAUCAUGCGAAUGUUCUCGCAAACGUAGUAUGCACACACUUCAGUCCCCGGCGCCUGCUUCAGGGCCUUUACGAGAAUAGAAUUUAGUCAGAUAAUAAUUAAUCAAGCAUGUUAAUUAAUUAAUGGUAUUGAAACAAACAUUAAAGAGAUGGUAGCUAGCUAGUACUACUUAAUUACUUACCUUGGGUCGAUACCAACAUAGCUUUUGUCGCCAUUUUCCUGGAGUCACCUUGAUGUACUUUGCCCAAGCCCUGCCCGCCGGCAAAGAAAAUUAAUAAAGGGGUUAUUAAAAAUAGUUCAUAUCAGGAAAUGACGAACUAAAUUAGGCCGAGAUAUAGUUAAUAAUGAUUGAAAUAACCUGUCGACUAUCCCCUUCACGAUGUUGUAGUCACUAUCUUUUUUAAGUAGUGAGUCCAGUACUUCAACUUUUCCUUCGUCAACUUUAAUGUCUAACAAGAUCCAGUGGAACCUGCAUGCGCAUACGUUUGCAUGUAUAAAUUAAGCGGGCAUGUGCAUAACACUAAUCAACUAUAACCCUAAACCCUAUACACUUAUUAACAUCUAGCUAGUAAGCAAAAACAGAAUCUGUAGUACAAGACAGUGUGACUCACUCGAAGUUGUAAGGAAGUAGCAUAUCUUCAUUGCUAUUGAGGCGCUUCAAGAACUCUACCAUGUUUUUCUCUACAUCUUGUCUACACCAUUCCAAUUUCCAUGUGUAUUCAUUAACGGUAUUUGGGUCAAUGAACCCAAUGCCAUAGCGUCCAGCUUUUUUAUUUCAUACAUCUUCAUCCUGCAUAAUACCACAGAAAAGAAUAUAUAGUGAGGAUAUAUAAUUACAGGUAAUUAAUAAUCAAUCAAUGAGCACUAGAGCUAGCUUCAGACUUAAAUUACAGAAAGAAAUCACUUACAGACAAUAGCAACUGACGAUAGAUUUGUCGAGUGCAUCUUGAUUGAAUAACUGAAAUAGUUCUUAAUACUCAACGGACAGAGCUUUCUUAUUGAAGUAAUGAUCUUCCUCGACUUGCACCAUGAGGGACUCUCGAUUGGAAAUCUUGGUAAUUUUCAUGUACCAAUCAUGCAAUUCAUACAUUCUCGUUGGGAGGUUCUUGACCUCCUCGGGCUCGACCAAAGGUUGGCCCCGGACAUAUUUCUGUUUUAUUUCCUCCUCUCUAAGCGGAGACAUGGGCUCGAUAUCGAGGAGUUGUCCAACAGUGAUCUUGAGCAUUUCAGCCUGCAUUAUAUGCUCCUCGGUUAUUACCACAUCGCCCAGCUCGGAAACGUAAACGGUUUGCCCACAAUAAUAUUGGGCGCGCGUACUCUCAUGUGUUGUUGGCACAAUAAGCGGGGGGGUCGAUUGCGCCGCCUGUUCUCCCAGCUUGGGAACGGUUUUCCCGCAUUUUUUGACAGCUGCUUGUUGGCUCGAGCUCGCUUCUUUCUGUAGUCGUGCUCGAUGUGCCUUCCUGAUUUGGCGCUCAUAGUCUGAGUCAACAGGCUUGGGAGCUGGUGGUCUAGCCAUACGAAUGAAGUGGUCAAUCUUUUCCUCAGGCACUUUCUCCCUCGGCGGCGGUGCCAGUUUCGGUCCAAAAUGAGCGUCCACUUUGGCCCGCACUAUUGCAUCGUUUUGCUCCUCGGUCAUGUCGUAAGGCCUCUGAGGAAGAGGAGCGAGGCUGCUUGGACCAUAUUUAUAUCGCUUGUCUCUGCCUGUACUUCCUGUACUACCUCGACUCGUACCGCUACACACCAUAGCUGCGACGUGUCUCUUCUGCGAUUGCUUAGGCGGCGGAGAUGGCUGACGUGGCUUAGUUGGAGCAGGAGGAGUGGCCUGACGCUGUGUCGGACUUGAAGCAGGAGGUGUGGCCUGAAACGGUGUCGGACUUGAAGCAGGAGGUGUGGCUUGACGCUGUGCCGGACUUGAAGCAGGAGGUGUGGCCUGACACGGUGUCAGAGUUGAAACAGGAGGAGUGGCCUGACGCUGUGCCAGACUUGAAGCAGGAGUCUGCUCACGCGUUCGUGGACUUCGAGGAGGAGUCGGCAGACGCGGUGUCGGUGGACUUCGAAAGAUGAUGCAAUCCUUUCUCCAUAGGAUGAUACGAUGUAUGGCCUCUCCCAGUGUGUGCUUGUCGUCACCUCCAGGAAUGUCAAGCUGUAGCCCCGAAUAUGGGUCCACCACCUCAUCAACCAAGACACGAGCAUAGCCCGCUGGAAUCGGGGCGCAACGGAAGGUUGCUUCGGGGGUAAUUGUAAAAGCAACGGCGUCUGCCACCUUCAUGGAUAUGUUCUUCAUUUUGAAGUGUAGCUCACAGUUAGUGUUCUCUAUGAUGUCAUCCACAGGGUAUGUAUCCAGCAGUGCGUCGCCCAGGGCGGAACCAACGCUGCUUCUCGGCAUGGAUGGGACGGUGCUAUCCAAUGCUGGAUGAUCAUCCGCUUGCCCCUGCCGCUGCUGAGACCCCCUUUCCUGGCUAAGUGAGUCGAUCUGCUGCUGAUGCUGCUGCUGGAAUUUGAGUGCCAAGUCCGCGUGCCUUGCUUCUAGGCCUUGAAGGCGUUCCGCGUCCUGCUUCCUCUACUCCUCCUCCAGCUUCCCCUUCUUCUCCUCCUCCAUCUUCUUUCUUGCACGGGUCCUGUAGUCGUUGUUCCAUUCCGAAAAGCCCUCAUACCAGGGAAUAACGCCCUUGCCUCGUGUUCUUCCCGGGUGUUCAGGAUUUCCCAGGGGGCGCGUAAGCUCGUCGUUCUCUUUGUUGGGCAUGAACACUCCCUUUCGAGCAUCUUCUAUUGCGUCAAGUAACUUUUGUUCUGCUCCUUUUAGACUUGCCUUCUUCGAAACCAGGCCUGUCUUCGGGUCCAACGCCCCCCCCCCAUGCGCAUAGAACCAAGUUCUGCACCUGGGGGGCCAGCUCCUAGUAACCGGAGUGACCCCUGCAUUCUCCAUCUCUUGCUCAGACUUAUCCCACUUAGGCAUUGCCACCGCGUAGCCACCUGGACCCAGCCUAUGAAACUGCGCCUUUUUUGCGGCAUUGGCCUUGUUUUUUCUCGACCGUUCCUUAGAUAAUCUGAUUCCUUGAAUUUCACGAAAGCGGGCCAGUGUUCUCUUUGCUUCUCCAGUGUUCCCUUGAAUUCUGGAGUCUUCCUUUCUGCAGCGAGGUAGUUGGCCCAUACAGUUUUCUUGUGGGUGUUGAAUGCAAUUGCCAUCUUCUUAAGAGCAGCGUCCUUGACUUUCUGCACAUCUGCAUCAGUGAAAUAAUCUGGUAGGGUGAAAUGUUCCAUCAGAGAUUCCCAAAGCUUUUGUUUUGCUCUGUCGUCAACCCAAGUAACAUCUGGGCGUUUAGUUUUUGGCUCUUUCCAUUCUUGAAUGGAGAUCGGGAGUUGGUCCUUCACAAGAACUCCGCACUGACGAACAAACUUGUUUGCAAUGUUCUUAGGCGUGAGGGGUUUGCCACUAGCUUUGAUGGAAUCGAUGUUGUACUUUACACCCUCCUUCAGCUUUUUGCCCGGGCCGCGCUUUGUCCUGCUGUCUGUAGAAGCAGAUUUGCUCGAUCCGGAGGGCUGAAAGAAGAAAGAUCGAUUCGUUAAUAUAUCUUCAAAUAAAAAAACAUGUGAUGAUCACUAGAUGCCUUCUUAUAUAAAUAUACCUUGCCGGUAGUCUUUGUUAUUUCAAGAUCAACAUUGUAUUCGUCAUCAUAAUCAUUGUCUGUGUCAUCAUAAUCAUAAUCAUAGUUCAUGACUUCAUCAGCUCGGUCGUCGAGAUCGAAUAUCUUAUCAUCACCCUCCCCGGUAUUGUUCAGAUUUUGGGAGCCUUCAUUUGCUUCACUCAGAUCAUCUGGCCUGUUAGGGCUAUGUAUGAUCUCGAACAGGGCCUCUUCUCCCUCUCUGCCGGUAUUAUCCGCCAUAGCUUUUAUUUAACUAAUACAGAAGAAAUAUAAAACAAUUUAGUAUUCAAAUUACAAUGCAUGGAUGCAAUCAAUAAGGAAAAACUGAAUCAUAUAGUACAUAAUAUGCAUCGUCUCGAAUAAUAUAUAAUCUCGAAUACAUCGUCACGAAUAAUAUAUAAUCUCGAAUACAUCACUGGCUAGGUAGCUAAUAAAGAUCGAAUACUAUAGAAGAAUCUAGGCCACUCGCGGUUCCUGGGGCGUGGGCGGUGGACACCCAAAGACAAGAAACCAUCACAGGAUCAUAUCUCCGGUCAUCUGCCCAAAGAACCUGACAGGUAUUGGAGAACCCGACGUCCAUAGCAGCCAUGUAGCGAUGGACGUGCUCGUCCUCCUCGCUAACACGACGAUGCACCACCUCCGGCGGGGCCGGCUCCCUCUGCACCGAAUGUGGCCCACGCGAACGCCACCAAAGGAGAUCAGGGUCGACGACGGGACCCGAGGCCGGGUUCCUCACCAAGCGGCGUGCCCCUCCAGGUAGCACCUCCCAGUGCCAGCCCGGCGGAGCCCAAUCCCGGACAUGGGUCAGCCGGACGUCGUCGCGAACGGGUCGACGGCGAGGAUGCGGGCCGGGCAUCGUCGAGAACAAAUACUAUAUGCCCGCAAAAAGUAACAUUGUUUAAAUGAUUGGAUUGUGAUAACUAAAAUUCUAUAUGCAAAUUCUAACAAUUUGACAUUAAUAUAAUUCAUCUAACUAAAACUAAUUCUAAAAUUUCUAACAUUUCUAUAUAUAUAUAACUAACAUUUCUAUAACAUUUCUAAUAUUUCUAUAACUAAAAAACAGAAAAAUUGCUAACAUUUCUAUAAAUAUUUCUAUAACUAAAAACAGAAAAAAAUAUAACAUUUCUAUAUAACUAACGUUUCUAUAACAUUUCUAAUAUUUCUAUAACUAAAAACAGAAAAAUUUCUAUAACUAAAAUUUAUAACUAAAAAACUAAUGUGUGUGUGUGUGUGGACAUGGCGGCCGGGGCAGGAGCUCACCGGCGAGGCGCGGCGACGGGGGGGCCGCGACGGGGACGGAGACGGGCGGUGACGAUGGGGAUGGGGACGGGGCGGCGAUGNNNNNNNNNNNNNNNNNNNNNNNNNNNNNNNNNNNNNNNNNNNNNNNNNNNNNNNNNNNNNNNNNNNNNNNNNNNNNNNNNNNNNNNNNNNNNNNNNNNNNNNNNNNNNNNNNNNNNNNNNNNNNNNNNNNNNNNNNNNNNNNNNNNNNNNNNNNNNNNNNNNNNNNNNNNNNNNNNNNNNNNNNNNNNNNNNNNNNNNNNNNNNNNNNNNNNNNNNNNNNNNNNNNNNNNNNNNNNNNNNNNNNNNNNNNNNNNNNNNNNNNNNNNNNNNNNNNNNNNNNNNNNNNNNNNNNNNNNNNNNNNNNNNNNNNNNNNNNNNNNNNNNNNNNNNNNNNNNNNNNNNNNNNNNNNNNNNNNNNNNNNNNNNNNNNNNNNNNNNNAAAGAAGCAGAGGGAGAGAUGAGAAACUGAAUUUUUCUGAAGUGCUUUCUUAUAUAGAACACCCCUUUAGUACCGGUUGGAGCCACCAACCGGUACUAAAGGUCUGGUUUGGCCAGGCCAAGCGGCGGGAAGCGCACACCCUUUAGUACCGGGUGGUGGCUCCAACCGGUACUAAAGACCCCCCCCCCUUUAGUACCGGUUUGAGCCACCACCCGUUACUAAAGGGGGUGCGCUGGCGCAGGUGCGGUGCGUCAUGUUUAGUCCCACCUCGCUAGCCGAGGGGCAUCCGCACUGGUUUAUAAGCCCCAGUGCAGUAGCUCUCUCGAGCUCCUCUCCAAAGCAGGCCUACUGGGCCUAAAUGUUCUGUGUUGCCCUGUGGGCCUACUGGGCCUUUGCGGGCCUGCAUCCUGGCCCAACAACAGGUUGGGUUUCUAGUCGUAUGCAGGCCGCUGUCACGCAGUAGGCGGGCUUUUUAUUUUCUUUUUUUUGCUUUAUUUAUUUUUAUUUUAUUUAUUUUUGAGUUGUUUUUUGCUGUAUUUAGAGUUUCUUUGUGAAUAUUUUUGCUUUAGGUACAAAAAAUUACAAACUUUCUAUUAGUGCCGGUAGUUUACAAAUUUGAACAGUUUACAUUUUGAAUUAUUUGAAAUUUGUGUGAAUCACUAGUUUGUGAAUAACUUAACUUUGAAAGUAGAUUUUUCAGUGAUUCUUUUUUCUUAUGUUUAAUGUGUUUUAUCAUUAUAUUUAAUUUGGUAAUGCUUAGGUUAUUUAAAAAAAUGAAAUGCCUUUGUAACGGAUGAGUUUUCGUCUGAAACCUUGAUACUUCGAAAGAGAUUGUCCAUUUUGUACACGAAGUGCAUCCAGUUUUUGCGGUAACCCUCUCUACUUUUUUGCACAUGCUAUGUGGGUGAAAUUAUGAUACCAUGCCAACUUUCAACCUUUUCUGAGUUCAUUUGAAAUGCUUUUCAAUUUCAGGGUCAUUUAGCUGAAAAAAUCAGUAAAUGCAUGAAAGAAUUUGUUUGCACAUAAAAUUUCUUCGCGUUUCAAAUGCCAAAACACAUAACUACCAUAACUAUUACAGAGAUUCCCUCCUGGGUGUGAAACACAGAAGAAAGUGAUGAUAGUGAAGCCGAUCACAUCCCAGAUCUUUGGGUGUGAAACUUUUUCUUCGCGUGUGUCCCUUUGCGCCAUAGCCAUGGAAAAUCUUCGUCAUUUAACUGGAUGCUCGGGUCAAUAUUCACUGUGAAUGGAGCAAUUUCAUCAAACUUUUCAUAAUCUUCUGACAUGUCUGUCUUGUCAUCCACUCCCACGAUGUUUCUCUUCCCAGAAAGAACUACGUGGCGCUUUGGCUCAUCGUAUGAUGCAUUCGCUUCCUUAUCUUUUCUUUUUCUCGGCUUGGUAGUCAUAUCCUUCACAUAGAAAACCUGUGCCACAUCAUUAGCUAGGACGAAUGGUUCGUCUGCAUACGCAAGAUUGUUGAGAUCCACUAUUGUCAUUCCAUACUGCGGGUCUUCCGUUACCCCGCCUCGUGUCAUAUUCACCCAUUUGCACCGAAACAAAGGGACCUUCAAACCACGUCCAUAGUCAAGUUCCCAUAUCUCCUCUAUGUAACCAUAAUAUGUUUCCUUUCCCGUCUCGGUUGUUGCAUCAAAGCGAACACCACUGUUUCGGUUGGUGCUCUUCUUAUCUUGGGCGAUCGUGUAAAAUGUAUUACCAUUUAUCUCGUACCUUUUGAAAGUCAUUAUAUUCGAAGAUGGUAAUUGGGACAGCGAGUACAUGUCAUCUUCAAUAGAGGCGUCAUGCAUGGUACGUGUCUGCAACCAGCCGGCGAAACUCCUGGUUUGUUCACGUGUAAUCCAGUCAUCACACCGCUCCGGGUGUUUGGAGCGUAGAAAAUUCUUGUGUUCGUCCAUAUACGGAGCCACCAAGGCGGAAUUCUGUAGAACUAUGUAGUGUGCUUCAGUGAGAGAAUGUCCGUCCAUACAUAUUUUUUGAUUCCCUCCUAGCGUGCCUUUUCCAUCCAGUCUGCCCUUAUGCCGUGAUUCAGGAACACCAAUCGGCUUAAGGUUAGGAAUAAAGUCAAUACAAAACUCAAUGACCUCCUCAUUUUCAUGGCCCUUGGAGAUGCUUCCUUCUGGCCUAGCACGGUUAUGAACAUAUUUCUUUAAGACUCCCAUGAACCUCUCAAAGGGGAACAUAUUGUGUAGAAAUACAGGACCCAAAACGUUAAUCUCUUCGCAUAGGUGAACUAGGACGUGCGCCAUGAUGUUGAAGAAGGAUGGUGGGAACACCAACUCGAAACUGACAAGACAUUGCACCAAAUCAUUCUCUAACCCUGGUAUGAUUUCUGGAUCGAUUACCUUCUGAGAGAUUGCAUUGAGGAAUGCACAUAGCUUCACAAUGGCUAAUCGAACGUUAUCCGGUAGAAGCCCCCUCAAUGCAACCGGAAGCAGUUGCGUCAUAAUCACGUGGCAGUCAUGAGACUUUAGGUUCUGAAACUUUUUCUCUCCCAUGUUUAUUAUUCCCUUUAUAUUCGACGAGAAGCCAGACGGUACCUUAAUACUGAGCAGGCAUUCAAAGAAGAUUUCCUUCUCUUCUUUGGUAAGAGCGUAGCUGGCAUGACCCUGAUGUAUGCCGUCUUUUCCAUGCAUACGUUGCUGGUCCUCCCGUGCCUCAGGUGUAUCUUUUGUCUUCCCAUACACGCCCAAGAAGCCAAGCAGGGUCACGCAAAGAUUCUUCGUCACGUGCAUCACGUCGAUUGCAGAGCGGACCUCUAGGUCUUUCCAAUAGGGCAGGUCCCAAAAUAUAGAUUUCUUCUUCCACAUGGGUGCACGUCCGUCAGCGUCAUUCGGAACAGGUUGUCCGCCAGGACCCUUUCCAAAGACUACCUUCAAAUUCUUGACCAUAUCAUGUACAUCAGCACCAGUACGGUGGCCAGGCUUCGUCCGGUGAUCCGCCUCACCUUUGAAAUGCUUGCCUUUCUUUCUUACGGGAUGCCUGCUCGGAAGAAAUCGACGAUGUCCCAGGUACACAUUCUUCUUACAAUUGUCCAAAUAUAUAAUGUCGGUAUCAUCCAAACAGUGCGUGCAUGCGCGGUAUCCCUUGUUUGUCUGUCCUGAAAGGUUACUGAGAGCAGGCCAAUCAUUGAUGGUCACGAACAGCAAGGCCUUUAGGUCAAAUUCUUCCCUCAUGUGCUCAUCCCACGCACGUACACCUGUUCCAUUCCACAGCUGUAAGAGUUCUUCAACUAAUGGCCUUAGGUACACAUCAAUGUCGUUGCCGGGUUGCUUUGGGCCUUGGAUGAGCACUGGCAUCAUAAUGAACUUCCGCUUCAUGCACAACCAAGGAGGAAGGUUAUACAAACAUAGAGUCACAGUCCAUGUGCUAUGGUUGCUGCUCUGCUCCCCAAAAGGAUUAAUUCCAUCUGCGCUUAGACCAAACCAUACGUUCCUUGCGUCAUCUGCAAACUCCUUCCCGUACUUUCUCUCGAUUUUUCUCCACUGCGACUCGUCAGCGGGUACUCUCAACUUUCCGUCUUUCUUACGGUCUUCUCUGUGCCAUCGCAUCGCCUUGGCAUGCUCUUUGUUUUGGAACAAACGUUUCAACCGUGGUAUUAUAGGAGCAUACCACAUCACCUUGGCAGGAAUCUUCUUCCUGGGGCGCUCGCCCUCGACAUCACCAGGGUCAUCGCGCCUGAUCUUAUAGCGCAAUGCACCGCAUACCGGGCAAGCGUUCGAAUCCUCGUACUCACCGCGGUAGAGGAUGUAGUCAUUAGGGCAUGCAUGCAUCUUCUGUACCUCUAACCCUAGAGGGCAGACAGCCUUCUUUGCUUCGUACGUACUCUCGGGCAAUUCAUUGUCCUUUGGAAGCAUAUUCUUUAUCAUUACCAGCAACUUUCGAAAUCCCUUGUCAGAUACACCAUUCUCUGCCUUCCAUUGCAGCAAUUCCAGUGUGGUGCCCAACUUUUUCUUGUCAGCUUCGCAAUUCGGGUAGAACAAUUUCUUGUGAUCCUCUAACAUGCGCUGCAACUUCUUCUUCUCCAAAUCACUUGCGCAGUUUCUCUUUGCAUCGGCAAUGGCCCGACCUAGAUCAUCAGCGGGCUCAUCUGAUGCCUCUUCUUCAGCUUCUUCCCGCAUUGCCGGCUCAGCUUCUUCCCCCAUUGUUGUAUCAUCGUAUUCAGGGAACCCAUGGCCAGGAUAGCUAUCGUCGUCCUCUUCUUCUUCAUUGUCUUCCAUCAUAACCCCUCUUUCUCCGUGCUUGGUCCAAACAUUAUAGUGGGGCAUGAAACCGGACUUAAACAGGUGGACGUGAAUGGUUCUUGACGUAGAGUAAUUGUGAUAAUUCUUACAGACUAAACAUGGACAAGGCAUAAAACCAUCCGCCCGCUUGUUUGCCUCAGCCGCAAGCAGAAAAGUUUGUACGCCAUUAAUAAACUCGGGAGAGCAUCGGUCAUCGUACAUCCAUUGUCGGCUCAUCUUCAUUACACAACACCGAAAAGACCAAAUUAAUACAAGUUCAUACAUAAAGUUCAUACAAGACUUAAAUGCAACAAACAAAUAACUCUCUAACUAAAGCAUUUAAAUGCAACAACAAAUGCGAUCAAGAUCGCAACUAAGGUAACAAUUGACCCAACAGCAUAAUGAUACCAAGCCUCACUAUCAAUGGCAUAUUUUCUAAUAUUUUUAAUCUUCAAGCGCAUUUUCUCCAUCUUGAUCUUGUGAUCAUCGACGACAUCGGCAACAUGCAACUCCAAUUCCAUCUUCUUCCCCUCAAUUCUUUUCAAUUUUUCUUUCAAAUACUCGUUUUCUCUUUCAACAAAAUUUAACCUCUCGACAAUAGGGUCGGUUGGAAUUUCCAGUUCACAAACCUCCUAGACAAAAAUAUCUAUGUCAACUUGAUGGGCAUAAUUUGUCAUAAACACGAAAUGCAACAACUAGUUUUAAAAGAGAAUAUACCACAUCCGAAUCAUAACAAGGACGAGGGCCGACGGGAACGGAUAUCAAAACCAUGGCACUAUGUAUAACAAACAACGUACGGGUAAGAUAAUUAUACGAGUAACUAUAUAUCCAAAUCACACAAACAUCAAUUUGGUAAUGUAAAACAUUCAUGAACAAGAGGCUCACCACAAGGUGGUGCCGGCGACGGAACGGUGCGGGCGAUCGACUGUGGUUACGACGGAGAUUUAGAAGGCACUAAGUAAACCACACCUACAUAUGCAAACUAAGUGUUAUUUUUGACCUCAAAUUGCAUAUAAAUCAAAUACUAGCACAUAUAUUUCCUCCCAAAUUACUAAACUCAUAAAUUAAUCACUAUACAAAGCAUUGCAAGAGCUAAUCUAGCAAUGAGAGAUGAAAGGACAAAGUUGCUAACCUUUGUGAUCAUUUGAAUGGAUGGGGGCCUUCAAAUCUUGACAAAUUUUGGGCAAAAUGUGUGAUGAGCUCGAGAGGAAGAGGGGACGAACAGAGUGGAGAGGGGAAAGGGGAAGAACAGAGCGAGCUCGGGUGGACGAAGGGUUUAUGUAGGACGACCUUUAGCACCGGUUCGUGCCACGAACCGGUACUAAAGGUGCUGGAGGGGCCCCGGACUGACAACAUCCUGCCACCACUCACUUUAGUACCGGUCUGUGGCACGAACCGGUGCUAAAGGUCGGCCACGAACCAGUACUAAUGAAAGCGGCCGGCUAGCCGUUGGAACCGGCACUAAUGCACACAUUAGUGCCGGCUCAAAAGCAAACCGGCACUAAUGUGCUUGACAUUCGACCCUUUUUCUACUAGUGAUUGAAAUUGAGUGCUACGGUUGCUUCUGUUUCAGGCAAGAGGCCAUGGUAUAUAUCCAUAUAUCUAGGAACCAAACAUGUCUUGAAAGUGUCAAUGCAAGAUAUGGGGGUCACCAUUGUAUUAAAUGUUGUUUUCAUUAGAACUUAUGACUUAUUUAUGAAUUAUGGACAUUAAGGGCACGCUGUCACUGGAAAUAAAGCACAACUAUCAAGAUAAAUGAAACACAUAGAUUAGGUAAUUCUGGAAGAGAAAUUACAACACGCUCUAGUCGUAUACAACUUCCAACAACAUAUACCUUUAGCACCAUUGUCAAUCAAGGCCUCUUCUCUACUCUUAACCACUCGUUGCAAAUUUUAUCCAAACACUAAUUGGUUUGAUCGACGAAAUCUAGUCUUGGAAUUGGUUGUUAUUGCAAAAAGAAGCUCAGAUGGUUAUAUUUAAAUCAUCUUUUACAUGAAAACACUAAAAACUGGCGUACUUCUUAUUGUAAUAAUAAUUCAUAUGCAAAAAGUAACAGAUGAUUGAAGCAUCCGAUCCUGAUUUAAAUGGAAAUUAGAAUAAAUCAUGUCAAAGAAUUAAUCCAACUUCUCACUACAACAGCCUUAUUAUGUCAGUAUAUAUCCGUAUUCAGUUGGAAAUUAAGGAGAUCUACUGAGUAUUACCUUGGCUGUAUGACCAGAGUGCAUAAAUCUCUGCAAGCCUAGUUAAUGGCCGGAGACCUCACCGUCUAAAAAAAUCCUAAUCCUUAGAAAUUGUCAACGCCAGAAAGAAAAUAAUCAUAGCUAGUACUUUGUAAUAUGCAGAAGAAAUAGAGUUUAUCCAGGUUUUAAGUCCGACAGAAGAAUUGGUGAGCAUGCUAUUGAGCUAUAGUAUCAAUGAAAGGCAAUAGCCAAUGGAAAAAUCUAAUAUAUCUAGAAGAAAUUUAGCAUCCAAUGUAUCACAUAAGGGAACUGAAGCUCAAGCAAAGAUUAGGUCUGUAUCAAGGCCACACAACACUCGGUAACAAUCAGCCGAGUCAAUAGGCAGAUGCCAAUAGAUUGUUGCAAAGAAAGCCUGGGAUUGUAAUGUGUAGAUGGAUGGUCCAGGAAGAGCGAGAACAUGUAUGCAUAUACAUUGGUAAUUACACAUAGUGAUUACUAAUCUGAAGUAAUCACCCACAACAUUUGUCUCAUCCUGCAGGGCAGAAAUCGGCGCAUACUUAGCAAGUUGAGUUACUGUUACAACUGGAAACAUGCGUGAAAAUUCAGGUAAAAGAUUUACUUCUCCAUCAUCCAAAUGCAUGAUUAUUAAAAUAUUUUAUGAAACUGAAAGAUAAUUGUUAAGCUAGAAAAUCAAUAUAUUAUUGUCACACUCCUACAUUUUUUCAGCUUAGUAAAACCCAAAAAUGCUCGAUCAUUCAGCAACUUUUUUGGAACUCAAGCUAAAAGUCUGUGUGGCUUCAAAUCUUCUUAGGUGAAAUGACCAAACAUAUGUGCUAUAUUUGGUCGUCAGUUUAGAUUCUUGACUAAGCCAGUGAAUAUAUUAUAAAAGACAGGAGUACUUAAAUUAGUAUACUCAAGUUAUCCAAGCACAUAGCAAGAAAAUAAUGGAAGAAUCUGUUAAAAAACAAAUAUAAGCGCAUGUUCAAUGUACAGAGAAACAAUAUAUAUGGAUCUAUACAUCGAUUUCCCCCAAAAAAUUGAUGUAAUUACAUGGCAACACGAAGAGGAAUACAGAGAGGUAGAAACCUAUGGAGAGGUCAGUCAAUUUGGCUACAUAAGCCAAAAUUCAAGUUAAACCUGCAAUAGCAGGAGCAGUUGCAAUGUGAUCAACGACGCGACCAUACUGAAAUUGCAGGUGGUUAAAAUAAUUUAAAAUUCUUGAUAAAGUGUACACAUCAUAUUUUCAAUUUAGCUACAAAUAGUAUGUCAGUGAUUAAGUUAGCUCAUAUAUUUUUCUUACGUUUCCUAGUUUAGAGUACUGUCUGAAGGCACAACUGUCAUGUUUAGCUGACAAUAUUUGGAUCAUUAUAAACGUACAUAGCUCGCCACUUUAAAUAGGGAAAUCGAAAAAGGGCACUCUAAUAUCAUAGCUAAAAAUAUAUUAUCAUAUCUUGUAUACGUAGCAUCCAUAAAUCUGAACCCUUGAACUUCAAAAGAAAGAUCAUGCAUAUUGUUAGAAAUGAACCUAGAAAAUAUGGAUUCCAUGAUUGAUGUAAAUGUAGUUAACACACUCUUACUGUCGGGUGAAACUUCAUGCGAUGCAGACCACCUAGUUGGCUCUCAUCUUCUCCCCCAUAUAAUCUGAUAAACAGAAGUGUUGAAAGAUAGACAUGGAAAAAGUAAGUUUUUCUUGAUGAGACAUUAUGGAUCAAUAUAUGAUAGGUGCAGAGAUUAUAUGACCGCAUUGGAGGCUUGCUGCAGUUGAUACGAUUUGCAGUAGCAGUUACCAUGGUAGUAGAGCACAAAGCUAGGCAAACGUGAGAGCGCACAUGGGUUACUGUGGCACCUGGCACGUGCACCCUGCAGUGCAGUAUCGACCGUGUAAUAGCCAUUGGCUAUGGCAGCCAUAGCCUCAAUUAAUCGAUGGCCUGGACAGGAAGCAGUGCAAGGAUCCUCUUGCCUAUUGAAAACAUGAAUUACAGGACAACAUGAGGUUCCCAAUCCUUGUGUUCCUUUCUCUUUUCACUACAGAUUAAUCACAGUUAAGCCAAAUUCUUUCUUCCGAAGUCGUGCUGAGCAAUGAGUCUAGCUCAAUUUCAUUAUUUAUUGGCGACUGCAUUCAUUUACAUGACAGAUGAAAACCACAGAGCAAACCAAUUGUAAGUGAGUCAAAGUUUUUGUGAACCUGUGAUUAGAUGAAUGGCUGAAAGCACCUGCCCGACAACCUGUAGAUAUCUACAACAUCUGACGCCUAAUAUAUCAGUGCAACAGAAGAGAACUAAACUGAAAAAUCUGAAAUGGGCGAACGCAGAACUAAAACUGCUCCGUUAAAAAUCAUGUAUCCUAGAAAGUGCAAAUAAUGAGUCAAUUUCCAACGCUAAGAGUUUGAGCCUGUUCUGAAAUAUCAUCUAAGCCAUUAGUAAAUGUACAGAACGUAACUAAAACUUAAUGAAGAUAGCAAAUCAAACUUUUUCCAAAGUUUUUAAGUCACAUAGGGGAUAAAAUUUCAAAGCGCAUUAAGCUUGCAAGUAGAAGACAAAGUAAUUAAAGGAGUAGGUAAUCCAUACAUACAUUAGAUUUUGAAGGAAAAUAUAAUAAGGUGCUUGGAAGUUGUUUCGGCCUCCUUUGCCGGGUGCUCGACAGUUGUUUGGGCGAGAUGCCGGAAGCCUUUAGCUUUGACUAACAUCUCGGUCAAGAUGGCCUGAUUUCUUGCGCCCUCACGUCAUUGUUAUGGGAGUAUAAUAUAUUAUGGAAAUUCUGAUGGUAGUUGAGAAGGCCGCGAGCUUGUAUCCAUGACUUGCAGAGUUGCAGCAAAAGAUAUGCGCUUGUGAUUGGAUCUGCGCGGGCAUCUUCCACAGCCACAGGUUGAACUCGAGACAUUGGCUGCUCCUUCCCGACCACGGGACCCUCCACAAUUGCAGAGAGAUGGCGAUAAAGGAAUCUGCAAAGAGAAAAUAUUGAGCAUGGGAGAUGAGAGAUUAGACGGAGAUUAAUUACAUGCUAGAUAAGGAAAGCUAGUCCUUUAAGAUCUCUUUCUUUUUUUCCCAAGAUUCUGAGAGAAUCGAUGGCCUCAAUCGUGUCCUUCAAGGAUGGGAGAUGAACUCGAUUAGGGCCUGGAGUGUGACCUGUAGUGCCACCAGUCCAACGCGAUUCCUCAACUCGGGACCCUCUAUGGGAGACAUAGGAGGGAGGGCCGGUAUAGGAGGCGGAGGAGGAAGAUAGCCCAACGGGGCAGAAGAGCUUUGGGGAAUAAGAGUUUUGUAUUAACAGGGAAUUCAGCGGGGACUCCAUAAGGGAUACAACACGCAGAUUUUUUUUUAGGCUCAUAACACGCAGAUUCGAGGGACUCAUAACACGCAGAUUAGUUGUGAAGAUUUUCUAAUGACGUGGGAAUUUAGACUGAGAAUUAUAUGAUUGAUUGAUCUCCACCAUUAUAACAUGGUCCCACCAGUUGUGAAGAUUUUUCUAAUGACGGGUUGAUCUUCACCGUUAUAACUUGGUCCCACUAGAUUAACGGUUCUUAAUUACUGAUUAACGUGGGAAUUUAUUGAGAGUCUGUAAUUAGUAUAUGUAUGUAUGUAUGUAUGUAUGUAUGUAUAUGUAUAUGUAUGUAUGUAUGUAUGUAUAUGUAUAUGUAUAUGUAUAUGUAUCUGUAUGUAUGUGUAUGUAUGUAUGUAUGUAUGUAUGUAUGUAUGUAUGUAUGUAUGUAUGUAUGUAUGUAUAUGUAUGUAUGUAUAGAUAGAUAGAUAGAUAGAUAGAUAGAUUGUAAAAAAAUAUGGAGUGGCAAUUUUGGGAGAAGCUGGGGAAAGGGACGAUUCUAGGAGAAUCGUCCAAAAGAACUGGCCCAUGUACUUCACACGGAUGUGGAAACUGAAAUCCGAAUCAAAAUUGACCAUAUAAUCUUGAACCACCUAACUACCAUGUGAUCAUCUGUAUUCAUUACACAAAAAUUCUGCAUACACCUUGAAUAUGAAACUUUACAUCUAAUCUUAGAACUACCCGUGUAAAUUUGCGGGUUAUGAUCGAAGAGACUAGCAAAUUGUUCAAUAUCGCAGUAACUUGACCUGUUUGGGUGCAACCAUUCUAAAAGAAGAAAGUUAAGCACACAAAGCUCCAUAGAUCAUUCACCAAAGCCAAGUUCUAUUUUUUUCAUCAUAAAAAUGAAAAUGUGAUAUUCACUGAACUAAACUUGCACUUUUUAGACAUAGGCUUGGACAUACAAAAAUAUCAAUACUUAAACACGAUGGUUUUCCUCCUACCGUACUGCUGGACAUAUCCGCCACACAAUGCAGAAAAAGAAAUUCACAAAUCUUUAGGUAAACUAACUAAAAAGAGAUGAAUGAUGUCAAAUCCAAAAGGGGGGAAAGCGACGACACUGACGAUUGCAACCUUUAAACAAACAAAACACAAUUUGAUGCUGAUCGAAUCAAGACGCUCCUCCGAGCUAUAGCCACUUAAUUACUUGGCAGCGGCGGCGGCAGCAGCCCACAUACUCCGCAGCUUCCCGGCAUAGUCCACCAUGCUCUUCAUGAGCGGGGCAGCCUUCUUGGCCGCCUCCGUCUCCACGAACCUCUCAGCCCAGGCGGCCAAGCGCGGAGUCCUGCCUGCGUCGAUGACCGUCACGCCGAACAUCUCAUGGAGCGCCUCGAACCAGAAGAGGUUGCACCCGAGCGCGAUGUCAAGGUACCCGACGGAGUCGCCGGCGAAGUAGUCUUUCCCACCAGAGCACUGGGCGAGGGCGUCCUCCAAGGGCCCGACCACCGCGAGCGCUGCGUCGAGCUUCUCGGCUCUGUCUUCCUCCGUGGCGGCGCGCAGGAUGCCUAUCCACGCGGGGAAUAGCUUGUCGUCGAUGUAGGCGGCCCAGAAACGGGCGACAGCGCGGCCGUAGGGGUCGGCAGGGAGGAGCGAGGCGCCGUCGGCCCAGACCUCGUCGACGUACUCGACGAUGGCGAGCGACUCGCAGAUGGGCCUGCCGACAUGGAUGAGCACGGGGACCUUCUUGUGCACCGGGUUGGAGUCGAGGAGGAGCUCGCCCUUGUCGAACAGGUCCUGCUCCAGGUACUCGUAGCUCACGCCCUUGAGAUGCAGGGCCAUGCGCACGCGGAUCGCGAACGGGCUCACCACCGUGCCCAGCAGCUUCACAUCUCCUUCGCCGGCCAUCGUCUUGGAUCGAUC
rnacentral:lncRNA from 1 species